rnacentral:lncRNA from 1 species
GAGAAGCGCAGUAGCAGCCAUUGACAUACAUAGUUAGUAUCUGCCACCGCUGAUGGAAACGAGAUGGAUCGGGAAUUCAGAAUCCUGCUUCUCCAGGGCCGAUCAUCCAGCUCCGGAUCCGCUGAUAGUACACCCGAGAGGUGCCCAAGAGCUUGGAAAGAAGGAUAAUCAAAGACUUAACCAACCGACGGAGAAUAAAAUGAGGGUCGUGGGAAUUGAAGGGAAUAAUCAGGGAUUGACCCCUAGCGAGCGGGCGAAUGAAGUUGUUGUAAAAGGGUAGGUAGUGUACAGAUUCUGAUCCUAUUGGAGACGACGAUAAUGUUCCAGCGCUCGCCUGGUAGCAGCAACCGAAUCGAAUGUGUAACAUUAUUUAUAGUAGAGAAGUUAGCAUACAUGCAAGCAAAGCGGGAAGAAGGCAAAGGUGAAUAGUUGUGCCGUUUCCUCCGUUCCAUCUUGACCUGAGCAGCGGCCUGUGGCAUGAUCAUGUUCUAGUAGUAGUAAGAAUCCAAUCUCAUGACAUGGUUAUGUUAUGUGGUGGUGGUAGUAAUGAUUUGUUGAAGUUGAAUAUAUUUCUUGCUGUGGAAUCUUGUUGGUAUAUGCUGAAGAAAUUGGAUGGAUGGAUGCUGUUGUUUUCGUCCUUUUGGGGAUGUGCUUGGGUGUAUUUGCUCCUUUUUCAAAAAGUUCAAUAAUUUUCACUCACCCAAGGAAUUUAUUUAAAGAAAACUCCACAUGUUUGCUUGCAGAUUUUCCAAGUUUGCGGAAAUCGCAAAUUGUUUGUGAGAUGUGCAAAAAGGAAAAAAAAAUGACGAUCCCAAGCAAUUUUCCAGAACGUUUAAAAAGCCAUUUGGAUUCCUUUUUUUUUUAUUUGUUCACCCGGAUAGCAAAUCGAUGAAUGUUUUCACAAAAUGUUUCUUCACAUGGAUCACUCGGAUAUUUGCACACCAGCAAAGAAAUUUUUCUUCAAACCUUUGAAGUUUGUUCUUCCUGUGCUUUAUCAGCCCUUUUUUAACCGUGGCUGACACUGACAGGGUGUGGGGAAAGCUAUGUGCAUCCGGCAGCCUCCGCCUCGCCUCGCCGCAUUCGCGUUGUCGCCAUGCCGCUGAAGCCGAAGAGCAAAGUAGGCUUCAAGGCCGCUGUGACCAUUGUGACCCUCAGGACGAAACCGAACACCGAUAAUGCCGCUGAGGAGAGCAACACGGAGAUGAAUUUCCUUUUCUCAAAAGUAAAGAGCCGCCCCGGAAUAGAAAGCAGAGGAGGAAUCCGUAGCGCCACCAUCUCGAUGUGUCUGUCUGUGCGGGAGCACAGUGCGACACCCGUCUCCAUUGUUGCGACUCGUCGCCCAUGUGUCGGACCGGGCGGAAGGAAAUAUGUGUUGUCGAUCAGUACGAAAUUUGUGUUGCGAGGAUACGACACAACGGGCUACCAAGACCCAUGUCAAGGUAGGGCCAACUCCAACGCACGACCCCAAAUCGUCCAACGGCGUUCGUUUGAAGUGAAACGGACACAAAUCGCGGCCCAACACGCGCCCGUAAACGGACGCCCGCGCCGACCCAUUUCCGGCUUAAAUUUGGGUUGCGUUGUGUCGAAAUGGACAGCGCGCGGACGGGCGGGACGCGCGCCCUUGUCCUCCCCCUGACCCGCCCGUCGGUCACUCAACAUUCUCAUUUUCCCUAUUUUUCCCCAAAAACCUCCCGUCCUCCCGCUCCAUGGUCGGCACCCCAAAGCAAUCCGCCGCCGCCGUCACGGACGCCACCUCCGCCCAUCCCCCGGUGAAGAAGAAGAGGAAGCCGAGGUCGGAGCUCAUGCCGGCGGAGCUCGACCGAGAGGAGAGCUCGGAGGUCCGUUCAAGCAGAGAGGAAAGCCGCUGCCGAGUUCGCCCUCGAGGCCACCACCGCCCAACAAGAGGCCGCCUUUGAGGACCAAGAGGCUAUCGCCGCCAAGGCCACACAACCAACGACCACGCAUGCCCUCAUCAUGCUAAGGUUGUGCCGACGCACGCCACCUCUUCUUUGCGCCGCCGCCAUGGCCGCGGCGAGCACAUGCGCGUUCGACCGUUCACCCACCAUAGGAACGGUUCCCGAGCUCAUAAAACCGCAAAUGACCGUGUUCAUCCGACGCACGCGUGCUCUGACACGAUUCAUAAUGACGUCGGAUGGAAGCGUGAUCGUGUCGGCCACACCCACCCCCGUGUCCGUCAUCGACCUCAGUGUCACACCUAGGUCAGGUGGUGUCGACAAUUCGACCCCAGGGAUGCAAAGGAAGCAACUGCAGGCAACUCAUACGACCAACUUUACCGACAUGCGCAACCUGUUCGACGGAACGCCCAACCCGACGCCGGCGCAAGACAACCCCGAGUUCCACGCUUUCAUGAAGAAUGUCAUCUACAAGGGCCGUGGCCAAGCCUUCCAACCCGAGGAUCACCGCCAAGGAGACGAUCUCGACGAGGCUCAAAGCCAAGACGGCCGCCGCUUUGGCCAUGGCCAGUGACGGAGCCAGAAAAAAUGGAUUAGGAGGGCCGAGUGCAGUUAAAAUGGAUUGGGAAGGGCCAAACAACAGAAAGACUAUCUCCCAGCAGUAAAAAAUCAUUAAGUCUGUACUAUUCAUGAGCAAACUAAUAGUAAAUCCAUGGUGUUAGGGGGGGCCAGGGCCCCUGCUGGUCCCCCUGUCUCCGCCACCGGCCAUGGCGACCAUGAAGAAGGGCCUGACAUCUUUGGCCAUGGCGACCAUGAAGAAGAGGACGACCGCGGAAACUCAUGGCAUGAUAACCUCUAUUGUGAAGAGGAGAAAGAGGGCGUAGACAUUGAGGAUGAGUCAUUGUCUAUGGACGAGCUCACCCAAAGAGUCAAUGCCCCAAAGAGGAAGCAAAGCAUUCGCAGGUGAUCAUACACUAAAAACGAGGACAUGUUGAUUUGCGAGAGUUGGACAGAAAUAAGGCAAGAUCCCCAGGCCGCCGCCAAGCAAAAAGGUGUCGGUUUUGGGGGGAGAGUUCAUGCGACCUUUCAUGAAUGUUGGAAGUUUCCGCCCUACAAGUUUGCGAGCACCCGUGGCAUCAACUCAAUCCAGAAGAGAUGGUUGUUUAUCCAACAAAAAUGCAACAAGUUUUAUGUCGUGCUUGAGAUCAUCGAAGCCCGUCCCGUGAGUGGCCUAGGCGUGGGCGACUUGGUAUGAACUUUUUAUCUUCCUUCCUAUGCCAUGUUCAUGCAUGUUGCAUUUUCUGUCCUUCGCUAUCACAUUGUGGCCUUCUCGUUGAUUGUGUAGGCAUUCUAUACUUUCGAAGCCUUCAAGGCCCGGCAUAAGAACAAGCCAUUCACCUUCACCCAUUGUUGGACGCUCAUCAAAGAUUGCCCCAAGUUCAAAGAUCAAUAUGCCGCUCUAAAUAAGAAUGGAGGGCCAGCAGCCGUGGUUGGGGAUGGUGAUGGGGUGAAGAGGCCGAGAGGUAAGACCAACUCGAAGAUGGACGAGAAGCCUGAUGCGACAUAUUUUGCCAUGCAAGAAACUUUGCGAGGCAUGAUGACCCAUAAGGAAGCAAGGGACAAGAGGAAACGCCAAGAAAAGGAGGAGCAAAUGAAGGCCUACAUGGAGAUCCAGACGAAAAGCUCGGCAUGAAGGAGGCCAUCAAGAGGAGGAAGCUCGACAUCGAAGAGGCCCUCGAAACGAAGAAGCUCACAAUUGGGGCCACCAAUGUAAAGACCAAAGAAAAAUAUGUGGCACUAGAUUUUAUGAUCGUCGACUUGAGCAAGAUGUCCCCCAAAAGAACAAAUUGGUUCAAGAAGAUGCAAAAGGAGAUAAUCAAGGGAUGUGAGGAGUGAGUGGGCUUGUGUGACGACAUGAACUACGGAGGCCGCGAGACAGGAACUAUGACCUUUUUUGAAGGCUGACAUUUGUGUCGUCCGCUGGCUUUCUUGCCGGCAUGAUCAUUUUGUAGGCUGGCAUGUGUGCCGAGCGCUGGCUUUGUUCCCGGCGUGAUACUAUGGGAUUGUUCAUUUUGUAGGUUAGCAUUUGUGCCGGCCGCUGGCAAGCACUAUGGCCGUGAAAAUUUCAAUGUUGGUUUCCUUUGCAAAAGUUCAGCUGGCCGGACGAAAUGCGUCUGUCGGUGGAUGCAUGGCCCGCGCAAAUGUAGAAAUGGCCGGCCUUAGCCGCUUUGCGGGACAAUAUAAUACGGACAAAACGGAUGUUCGUCUGGAGUCAUGCGUUGAAGUUGACAUAAACAUUGACCCGAAGUUGACCUUACCCGUGGGAAAUGCUCCCAAACCUAUGUGUCCGUCCGUAGAGAUUGGAUAGUCACAAGGUAGUAGAUCAGGGGUGGCAGCUGGUGAUGUGACGUGACGCUCCGUCAGAAGACAAUCCCCAAAGGGGAGGAGGGAAUCCGAUACCUCCAUCCCGGUGAUUGAUUUGAGCGUCACCAUCUCGGUGUGCCUGCGUGUGCCGUGGACACCACACCCCCGCUCACUCACUCACAACCGGACGGCCGCUCUAUUACCUUUUUAUAUGGUCACACCGAGACUGGUUGUCCUGCUCGCUUCCUCGCUCUCCGAUCCGAUCAGACAGUUCCGUGUUCAACAGCCCCGCACCUUCCGUGUAUGGCAUGGAAGCGGCUACAAGACAGUCGACUAAAUUUUUCGAACGGGCCAGUUGAUUCUAGUUCAACCGUUGGAUCAAAAAACUAAUGUCCAACCUUCAUCUUCAACCUCACGCAGAUCUUCUUCUUCUUCCUCUCACGGACAAUUUGUCUCGCCCAACCGCCCCACGGACCACCGGCCGAACCGCCAGCCACCGCCGCCUGCUGCCGGCAGCGCUCCCGUGCUGCCUCGCCGCCCCGCCCUCCCCUCAACCUCCUCCCACUGUCAUUCUGUCACCACNNNNNNNNNNNNNNNNNNNNNNNNNNNNNNNNNNNNNNNNNNNNNNNNNNNNNNNNNNNNNNNNNNNNNNNNNNNNNNNNNNNNNNNNNNNNNNNNNNNNNNNNNNNNNNNNNNNNNNNNNNNNNNNNNNNNNNNNNNNNNNNNNNNNNNNNNNNNNNNNNNNNNNNNNNNNNNNNNNNNNNNNNNNNNNNNNNNNNNNNNNNNNNNNNNNNNNNNNNNNNNNNNNNNNNNNNNNNNNNNNNNNNNNNNNNNNNNNNNNNNNNNNNNNNNNNNNNNNNNNNNNNNNNNNNNNNNNNNNNNNNNNNNNNNNNNNNNNNNNNNNNNNNNNNNNNNUACUCAGCAAGAAAAAAACUGUAACAUUUUUCCAUAACUGUGGCAUUACGUCGAAUUGAAAUGUCAGCGAAGUGGAGUGGUUCACAAGCAUGGCUAGCCGAGCAAACUAGUUAAUGUUAAUUUUGCCAGGCCCGUCUGAGAAACCUAGGAAGAGGCAAUCAAUCAUCGUGCCAGCCACACAAGUGGCUUCACCUGACGACAGGACGGACACAAUGGUUUUAAUAAUUUGUUUAGUAAGAGUAAAACAUUUCUGGCUGGACCAAAAGCUCGUAACUCGCGAGCUUAAUGAUCACUCGAUAAUUCGGCCGAUUAAACUCGUGGCUCGCUUCUUAAUGAACAGAGUCAAUCAUCGAUUUUACCCAGUUAAGCUUAAUGAGCUUAACAAAUGAGUAACGACUUUCAUGAGUAGCUCGUUAAACUCGUUAGUAACAACACAACACAUAUUUUUAUCUUACAUGAUAAGUUUUCGUAGCACCUCAGCCCAUCUAUUCAAUCUAAUCUACAUAUGAGGCGACAAACUAGUGCAUUCUUUUUAUAGUCAUCAUAUUCCUUUUUAAAAACCACAUCUACACAUUUAUUAUGUAGACCAUAACACAUCAAAAUCUGUUAACGAGCGAUCACGAACUUAACGAGUUUCAAACGAAUCGAGCCGAGCAGGAUUUUCUGCUUGUUAAUCUUAAUAAGCUUAACGAGCCAAGCCUUAACGAGCACGAGCGGCUCGUUAAUCCCCCCUUCUCACACAUGUGACGCGAAACAACUUCACAUGCGUGGACAAUUGGUGCCUUUGGUAACCACCACACUCCACGGUCUACUCUAUCACUAGAUCGCCACUAGCUCCUUCCUAAUGAACACCGCUGAUCCUUCACCUUUGCAAUCGCUGUAAGGCAGGCAUGCGAUCAUGUCAUGGCUGGCCCAAGCUGCAAUCCGUUCCGGUUCUCACGCGCCCACGCAUGGACCUGUAUUUUGUUAACCAGGGUGGCGGUGGUAGAGAUCCGCAUGAUGCAUGUAUCCACGUUGCAGUCGUACAAAAUCAAAUUUACAAUUUGUUGCAAUUGGAAAUUUAUCCAACGGCCGAGGGUGAUCGGGUCGAAAAUCUGAUGGCUCACAGCAAACCAGCCCGAGAUCCGACGGCCAGGCGCAUACGAAAAAUGAUGUAACGGUCGAGAGUCGUAGAGCUCUGAGGAGGCUCAGGUUCAGACAUGAAUCUAACUAUGGGAUAGGAUGCAUCACCUCAUGUCAUCUCUAAUUGAUGAUCGAUUAGAAACAAGCCUCCCAAUACCUAGUGUUUUUUGGGAGUUAGGUUUUGGGCCGACUUUUUUUGGUAGUUAAGGGCAUCUUCGGUAUAUGUCCGAAUUAUGGUGUCGGACCACUUGUGUCAACUUUUGUCAUUCAAUGGGCAUUCCUAUUUGGUCUGGGAAGUUGUCUGAACGUCCGGUUUUCCGCAGACCGAAACAAAAACCGGGGGAGCUAUGCGGGACUCCGAUCCUCUCUCUCAUCUCAACCAAACAUCAUACCACAAUACCCCAUCAUAUGUAUGGCCCCCUUCUACCCUCUUUUCUCCCGACCGGAUUAAUUUAUGAAUAGUGUUGCAUAGCUCCCUCCCGCAUCAUGUUCAUGAAACAUAAAAACGGACAUUUGUGAUGCCCGUUUACUGGUGAGCGUUGAAGAUGGGUUUUAGGGUUUCAUUCGGUCAGAGCUGCCGAUGUAGAGAGAGAGAGGGAGGGAUGAGUUGGAACCUAAUUGCCGGCGUCAACGCAGUGGAGUGGUUUACAAGGAAGCCUAACAAGCUAGGAGUAGUAGCUAGUUGGUCUUUUGUCGGGUGCAUGGACGGCACACCUGAUUAAUCACGCCAUUUCCUAGGAAUCAAUCAAUCAAGCAACCAUCCUCAAAAAAAAAAAAAAAUCAAUCAACCAACCAGUGCGCCACACCAUUCCACACACUUUUAUAAAAAAAUCACCAUUCCACACACAAGUGACCCAGGGCCCAGGGGUACUACCUCCGCCCGGUUUACGGGUCCCUUUCGUAUUUUUAUUAUUUUUUAACCAUAAAUUCUAAUUAACAAAUUAUGCCAUGCCAUCAAAAAAUAUAUCGUUAGAUUCGUAUUUACACAUAGUUUUCAAUAAUAUAAUUCUUGGUACUAACAUGCAUUGACACUUUCAAUUAAAUCUAAGAUUAAAAUUUAACAUUAAAUAUGAAGGGGCCAAUAAACCAAGACGAAGGUAGUAAUAACCAAGACCAAAUUGCUUCCUCAUCAUACGUAUGUGAUGGACGAACUAUGCUUCGGUGACUUAAAGCAUCAAGAUUAGUCCCCUCGCAAAAAAAAAGCAUCAAGAUUAGUCUUUGAGGCACCGAAGCUGCGUCCAUGAUCGACACGGCGCGAAGCAACUUCGCAUUCAUGCAUGGAAAACCGGCCGGUGCAGCUGGAUCGAUCGAUGGCCGGCCCCUACAUUCUACGCACGCGGUCUACGUACACGGCAGCGCCAGCCAGAUCGCCGCUCCGUAGCUAGCUAGCUACUGCUCCUCAGUACUACUACGCACUAGCAGGAGAGGACUAAUCUUGACCUACACAACUAACCACUGCAGUACACUAGCCAGGACUGAUCUUGAUCUACGCAGUACACCACUACCCACUGUACCGCCACUCACGUACCAGUGCCGAACUGGUCUGGUCCCAAAGUGUAAGAUUGUGUAAACUUGUAUAUUGCAUAAUUGAUACAGCCGGAUUACAAUGUUUAUAUAGUGCAUAGGGUAAGCAACCUAGGCUAAACUAACUUGGAGUACAAGUCUAAUACGAGUCCUACUCGUAUACUCUAACAUCCCCCCGCAGUGUCAACGGGAGGCUCGAUGACGUUAAGACUGGAGCGAAUAUCUGUAAAUGGCGCGGUUGCAAGCCCCUUGGUGAAGAUAUCAGCAAACUGUGCCGUGGUAGGAACAUGAAGAACACGGACUUGUCCCAAAACAACUUUCUCACGAACAAAGUGAAUGUCGAUCUCAAUAUGCUUGGUGCGUCGAUGCUGCACUGGAUUGCCUGACAUAUAGACUGCAGAAAUAUUAUCACAGUAAACCACCGUGGCCUGAUGAAGAGGAUGAUGAAGUUCCUCAAGUAAUUGGCGCAACCAAACUGUCUCCGCAACUGCAUGUGCAACAGCCCUGUACUCUGCCUCAGCCGACGAACGAGAGACCGUAAGCUGGCGCUUCGAGGACCAAGAAAUAAGAUUGUUUCCAAGGUAAAGACAGUAUCCUGAAGUGGAUCGACGAGUGUCUGGACAACCAGCCCAGUCAGCAUCCGAAUAAGCUGUCAAUGAUGCAGGUGAAGAUGAAUUGAUGUGGAGACCGUGAUCGAGAGUUCCUUUGACAUAACGAAGGAUUCGUUUGACAUGAUUAUAAUGAGGGACACGAGGAUCAUGCAUAAAAAGACAGGCUUGUUGUACAACAUAGGAUAGUUCAGGACGAGUAAGUGUGAGAUACUGAAGAGCACCAGUUAAACUACGAUAAAGUGUGGGAUCAGAAAAAGUUUCACCAUCGGAGGAGAGUUUAGAAUUGGUAUCUACAGGUGUGCGAGAGGGUUGACAAUCUAACAUACCGGCCUUGGUUAAAAGUUCAAUAGAAUACUGACGUUGAGAAAGAAAAAGACCCUUAUGAUCACGUGUGACAGCAAUACCCAAAAAAUGAUGGAGAGAACCUAAAUCAGUCAUGGAAAAUUCGUGCUGAAGAAGUGAGAUAAUGUGUUGAAGAAAGUCAGUAGAAGAGGCAGUAAGAACAAUAUCAUCUACAUAAAGAAGAAGAUAGGCAACGUGGUUGUUAGAGUGAUAAACAAAAAGAGAAUAGUCUGAACGAGAAGGAGAAAAAACGAUAGUUUGAAGGAAGGUAGAGAAGCGUUGAAACCAUGCACGGGGAGCUUGUUUAAGGCCAUAGAGGGAUUUUUGAAGAAGACAAACAUGAUUGGGAGAUGUAGAAUCCUCGAAACCUAAGGGUUGUUGACAAUAUACAGUUUCAUUAAGAGAGCCGUGAAGAAAAGCAUUUUUACCGUCUAGUUGAUGGAUUGGCCAUGUUGAUGAGACCGCUAUGCUAAGAACGGUUCGAAUAGUGCUAGGUUUUACGACAGGAGAAAACGUCUCAUCAUAAUCGAUGCCGUGUUGUUGAGAGAAGCCACGACAAACCCAACGAGCUUUAUACCUAGAAAGACUACCGUCAGAGUUAAAUUUUUGACGAAGGACCCAUUUACCGGAGACAAUAUUUGCAUUAGGAGGACGGGGAACCAGAUGCCAGGUGUUGUUGGAGAGAAGAGCAUUGUAUUCAUCACGCAUGGCAGCGGCCCAGUUAGGAUCAAGAAGAGCAGAUUUGUAAGUUUUAGGAAUAGGAGAGAGAUUAGUAGUAACAUGUAAAUUAAGCUUCUUAAUUGGUUGAGAAAAACCUGAUUUGGCACGGGUGCGCAUAGUGUGGUCAUUGAGAGGACCAGGAACAGGGACGGCAUUGGGUGGUAGAAUUGGUGGUGACGGAGAGGGAGAGUUGUCCGGCGCAGCGGAGGGUGCGGACAUGGGCGAGGCUGCCGCGGCAGAAAGUGGCGUGGCGAUGGUGGGAGAUGGGGGUGAUGGGGGCGCGGCUGUGGCAGAAUCUGCUGCCGCGGUAGAGGUUGGCGUGGCAACAGGUGGAGGCACUGCCGGGGCAGGAUUUUCAGGUAUGAGAUGAGUAAAGAGAGGAAAUUUAGAGGGAGAAUGAGAUGGUUUGGACGCAGAUUUAGGUUUGUUGUCUAUGGAGGUAGUAGAGAAAGGAAAAACCGUUUCAUCGAAAGUUACAUGAUGAGAGAUAUGUACGUGACCAGAAACAAGAUCAAGACACCUAUAGCCUUUGUGUUCAUCAGAGUAUCCUAAGAAAACACACGGAAGAGAUCGUGGGGACAGCUUAUUAGUUGUUGUGGCGGAGAUGUUGGGGAAGCAAAGACAACCGAAGACUCGUAGCUCAUUAUAGUUAGGGUGAGAAAGAAAGAGAGAGUAAAAGGGAGUGAUUUUAGGAUUUACACUGGAUGGGCGAAUAUUCAAAAGAUAAGUGGCAGUACGCAGUGCUUCAGCCCAUAAAUUGGAUGGCAUGGAUGCCUGGAUAAGAAGUGUUCUAAUAAUAUCAUUGAUUGUGCGAAGAGAGCGUUCAGCUUUGCCAUUUUAUGGUGAGGUGUAUGGACAAGAGAACCGAAGGAGAAUGCCGUGUGUGAGGAAAAGGUUUCGGUUUGCAAUAUUAUUAAAUUCUUUACCAUUAUCACAUUGUAGAAAACGAAUAGGAAGAAGGAAGUGAGUAGCGACAUAACGUUGAAAGUCAGUUAAAACAGUAUGUGUGUCAGAUUUAUUUCUUAGAGGAAAAGUCCAUGUAAAAUGUGUGUAAUCAUCUAGAAUGACAAGGUAAUAUUUAAAACCAGAAAUGCUUGAAAUAGGAGAGGUCCAUAGAUCACAAUGAAGAAGCUCAAAGGGAAACGUACUAGAAGAACUAGAAGAACUAAAAGGUAACCGAACAUGUUUUCCUUGUUGACAUGAAAUACACAGAGAGGAAUUAUGAGGUUCUUUAUUACAUGGAAUGGAAAAAUCACUAAGUAUGGACGACAGUGUGGCACUAUUGGGAUGACCUAAACGCUGAUGCCAAAGAUCCACCGUAGCAAGCAUGGAAGAAGGAAGCGCAGCAGUGGGAGCACCGUGGAUGGAGUAGAGGUCGCCGGAGCUAUGAAGCGUGCGAUCUCCGUCUUGGUGUUGAAAUCCUUCACAGAAAGACCAAAGGGAUCAAACUCGACGGAGACAGAAUUAUCAAUGGUGAAGCGAUGAACAAAAAUUAAAUUUUUGAUAAGUGCUGGUGCAACUAAGACAUCACUAAGAAGGAGUGGCUUGGUGGUAGAUGGGAGUUGAGUGUGACCAACACAUGAAAUAGGAGUGGAGGAACCAUCACCAAGCGUUAUAGAAGAAAAAUAGGAUGGAGUGCAAUUUGACAGCAUAUUAUUGGAUGAAGACAUAUGACUAGAUGCACCAGAAUCAAAGAUCCAAGCAGUACCUGUGUUACCUUGUGCAGCAAAAUUGUUCAUGGCCUGAAGAAACACAGCUUGAUCCCAGCUCGUGACGUUGGUAGAGGGCGGCGCUGGUGGUGGUGCGGGUGCGGGCGCAGGUGGUGUUGCCGCAUACGUGGGGAGCUGCAUCGGUUGGCAGUAGACUCCUGAAUGAUCCGUAUGGUAGACUGGAGUUGACAUGGGAGCACCAUACUAUAUAGGCGGGGCAGCAGCAAAAGGAGCCAUAGUGGGUGCAGCAUAAUAGGCCUGAGCAGGUGGACGUACGCCGAGGAAACCAGGAGUGCCGGUGUGUGGGCGCAUCCCCGGCUGCCAUGCACCUGAAUAUGUGGGAGGAGCGCCGACGGGAGAGGGUGCGGACCACGGCAUGGGCCACGCCUGGACCAGACCUGUCCAUGGAUCAUGUGACGCCCGGAUAAUCAAGCUACAGUAACCUCUGCUAAUGACACCACGUCACCUCCGUUACUGUCACUAAUCUCGCGUUAGUUCGAAAACGAUUCAAAUUCAAAUUUGAGAUUUAGGCGAACAACAAAAGUUUUCAAACAUUAAAACUAAAAUGUCCAAAAUGUGUCAAAUAAAUCAUGGGUAAUACUGAUGGAGAAACCACAAAUUUUAUAAAAUGUUUAAAGGCUCUAAACUAAUUAAAAUAGCAACUAUGACAAUUAAUUAAAUGCCUUUUAAAAAUAAUAAUAAUGCAAACUGUUUUAACUAGGUGUCAAACUUUUGGGGCAGUAGAAUAAAUUAUAACAUUAAAUUAGGAGUUGUAUUUAUAUUUUAUNNNNNNNNNNNNNNNNNNNNNNNNNNNNNNNNNNNNNNNNNNNNNNNNNNNNNNNNNNNNNNNNNNNNNNNNNNNNNNNNNNNNNNNNNNNNNNNNNNNNNNNNNNNNNNNNNNNNNNNNNNNNNNNNNNNNNNNNNNNNNNNNNNNNNNNNNNNNNNNNNNNNNNNNNNNNNNNNNNNNNNNNNNNNNNNNNNNNNNNNNNNNNNNNNNNNNNNNNNNNNNNNNNNNNNNNNNNNNNNNNNNNNNNNNNNNNNNNNNNNNNNNNNNNNNNNNNNNNNNNNNNNNNNNNNNNNNNNNNNNNNNNNNNNNNNNNNNNNNNNNNNNNNNNNNNNNNNNNNNNNNNNNNNNNNNNNNNNNNNNNNNNNNNNNNNNNNNNNNNNNNNNNNNNNNNNNNNNNNNNNNNNNNNNNNNNNNNNNNNNNNNNNNNNNNNNNNNNNNNNNNNNNNNNNNNNNNNNNNNNNNNNNNNNNNNNNNNNNNNNNNNNNNNNNNNNNNNNNNNNNNNNNNNNNNNNNNNNNNNNNNNNNNNNNNNNNNNNNNNNNNNNNNNNNNNNNNNNNNNNNNNNNNNNNNNNNNNNNNNNNNNNNNNNNNNNNNNNNNNNNNNNNNNNNNNNNNNNNNNNNNNNNNNNNNNNNNNNNNNNNNNNNNNNNNNNNNNNNNNNNNNNNNNNNNNNNNNNNNNNNNNNNNNNNNNNNNNNNNNNNNNNNNNNNNNNNNNNNNNNNNNNNNNNNNNNNNNNNNNNNNNNNNNNNNNNNNNNNNNNNNNNNNNNNNNNNNNNNNNNNNNNNNNNNNNNNNNNNNNNNNNNNNNNNNNNNNNNNNNNNNNNNNNNNNNNNNNNNNNNNNNNNNNNNNNNNNNNNNNNNNNNNNNNNNNNNNNNNNNNNNNNNNNNNNNNNNNNNNNNNNNNNNNNNNNNNNNNNNNNNNNNNNNNNNNNNNNNNNNNNNNNGCGCCCGUCCGCCCCGUCUCGGCUCCUGCGCCCCGCGGUGGCCAUCUCCCACGCGCGCCCUGGCCGCACACCCGCGUCGACCAAGCCCGGCCUUGACCCCCACCGCACGCGCCGGUCGCGUCCCGCGCCAUCGUGCGCGCACUCGCACUGGCCGCGCCCCGCGCUCCCCCUCCUGCUCGCCGUGGUGCCUCGCAGAGUAAUUAGUUUAACUAAAUCCUAAUUAACCUAACAGAGUAUGACAGGUGGGUCCCAUUGGACCCACGCGUCAGUUUGACCCAGUCAAUCCUUGUUGACUGCUGAUGUCAGCAUGACGUCAUGCUGACGUCAUAAAUCCAUUUUCUGAAUUAAUUAAAUAAUUAAAUAAAUUCCAGAAAUUAAUAAAAUAUUUAGAAAAUCAUAUCUUUUAAUCCGUAACUCGGAUUAAAAUAUUUUCAACAUGAAAGUUGCUCAGAACGACGAGACGAUUCCGGAUACGCAGUCCGUUCGUCCGCCACACACCCCUAACCUAUCGAACCCGCAACUUUCCCCCUCCGGCUCCUCUGCCCGAAAACACGAAACACCGGGAAUACUUUCCCGGAUGAUUCCCCCCUUAACCAGUACCACCUUAUCCCAUGUUAGGGCACGCCUAGCAUCGCUUCUUGUCAUGUCAUGCAUCGAUAUGCAUCUGUUUACUUGGUAUUCAUUGUUUCUUCCUCCUCUUCUCUCCGGUAGACUACGAGACCGACGCUGAUGCUGCCCAGUUCGACUACGAAGUUGACGACCCCUCUCUCUUGCCAGAGCAACCAGGCAAGCCCCCCCUUUGAUCACCAGAUAUCGCCUACUCUUCUCUAUACUGCUUGCAUUAGAGUAGUGUAGCAUGUUACUGCUUUCCGUUAAUCCUAUUCUGAUGCAUAGCCUGUCAUUGCUGCUACAGUCAUUGAUACCUUACCCGCAAUCCUAAAUGCUUAGUAUAGGAUGCUAGUGUUCCAUCAGUGAUCCUACACUCUUGUCCGUCUGCCAUGCUAUACUACUGGGCUGUGAUCACUUCGGGAGGUGAUCACGGGCAUAUACUAUAUACUUUACACUGUUACAUUACUGGUGAUACUGUUUGGAGAUGGGGGCUGAAGGGGCAGGUGGCUCCAUCCAAGUAGUGGUGGGCCUGAGUUCCCGACGGCCCCCGACUGUUACUUUGUGGCGGAGCGACAGGGCAGGUUGAGACCACCUAGGAGACAGGUGGGCCUGGCCUUGUUCGGCAUUCGCGGAUACUUAACACGCUUAACGAGAUCUUGGUAUUUGAUCUGAGUCUGGCUACGAGCCUAUACGCACUAACCAUCUACGUGGGAGUAGUUAUGGGUAUCCCGACGUCGUGGUAUCAGCCGAAGCACUUCAGACGUCAGCGACGGAGCGGCGCGCGCCGAAUUGGACUGGAACGCCACUAGGCUAGGUCUGCUUUUGGCCGCGUACGCAACAUGCAGGUGUGCUAUGGGCGAUGGGCCCAGACCCCUGUGCGCUUAGGUUUAGACCGGCGUGCUGGCCUCUCUGUUUUGCCUAGGUGGGGCUGCGACGUGUUGAUCUUUCGCGGCCGGGCAUGACCCAGGAAAGUGUGUCCGGCCAAAUGGGAUCAAGCGUGUUGGGUUAUGUGGUGCACCCCUGCAGGGAAGUUAAUCUAUUCGAAUAGCCGUGAUCUUCGGUAACAGGACGACUUGGAGUUGUACCUUGACCUUAUGACAACUAGAACCGGAUACUUAAUAAAACACACCCUUCCAAGUGCCAGAUACAACCGGUGGUCGCUCUCUCUCAGGGAUACGAGGAGAGGAUUGCCGGGUAGGAUUAUGCUAUGGAUGCUACUGGAGAUGCUACUUGAAGAUGCUACUUGGAGGACUUCAAUCUACUCUCUCCUACAUGCUGCAAGACGGAGGCUGCCAAAAGCGUAGUCUUCGACAGGAUUAGCUAUCCCCCUCUUAUUCUGGCAUUCUGCAGUUCAGUCCACUGAUAUGGCCUCCUUACACAUAUACCCAUGCAUAUGUAGUGUAGUUCCUUGCUUGCGAGUACUUUGGAUGAGUACUCACGGUUGCUUCCCCCCCCCUUUUCCCCUUUCCUUUCUUUCUGGUUGUCGCAACCAGAUGCUGGAGUCCAGGAGCCAGACGCCACCGUCGACGACGACCCCUACUACACCGGAGGUGCCUACUACUACGUGCAGCCCGCUGACGACGACCUGGAGUAGUUUAGGAGGAUCCCAGGCAGGAGGCCUGCGCCUCCUUCGAUCUGUAUCCCAGUUUGUGCUAGCCUUCUUAAGGCAAUCUUGUUUAACUUAUGUCUGUACUCAGAUAUGGUUGCUUCCGCUGACUUGUCUAUGAUCGAGCUCUUGUAUUCGAGCCCUCGAGGCCCCUGGCUUGUAAUAUGAUUCUUGUAUGACUUAUUUUAUUUGUAGAGUUGUGUUGUGAUAUCUUUCCGUGAGUCCCUGAUCUUGAUCGUGCACAUUUGCGUGCAUGAUUAGUGUACGAUUGAAUCGGGGGCGUCACAAGUUGGUAUCAGAGCCGACUGCCUGUAGGAAUCCCCCUUUCACACUUCUUGGCCGAAGUCGAGUCUAGACAUUGCAAAACUUUACUAACUUGACUGUGUGCCUUACGGGCCCACGUCGCCAUUGGGUGGUACUAGGAUCUUUUACUCCUCGACCUUUACUCUGGGACUCUGAGCUCUCUUCUAUUCGGGUUAAAUGAUUUCGCUAAAAACAAAACUAACUUUAGGUUCUCGCUAGUACUUCUCCCGGAGAGCCACUUGUUACCGAUGACCGCCUGCUGCACCAGAAGAUUCCGAAGAUACUCUACGAUGUGCUCUCGAGACUAUGUGCCAUCGCUUUUGCAAUUCACUUCCAUCGAUAAAUCCCUCUGGAUAACUACUUACACCUAUCGUUCAUAUUGUCAUCCCCAGUUGCUCUUGUUAUUACAAGAUGUCCUGAAAUACUCUUCGAUAUUCCGAGAAUUCUUUACGCUUACUGCCCUGCAGUUCCUUGCUGCAUGAAUACCCCUACGGAUAAUUACUCGCGCUUUCCGAGUAUCCGCUCAUCCCCCAGUUGUUCAUGAGUUACACAAAAGUCUUCGAAAUACCACCCGAUAUUCCGAAAAUCCUCAGCAUCCUAUUGCUCUGGAAUUUCUUGUUUGCUUUCAUUAUGAUUAAUCCCAUAAGUAUAGAAAUCUUAUUGACAUUUCUUGUCAUUAUCAUUUUGAGUCUGUUGACUCAAUAUGUUGCGAAUACACGCAAUCAUCAUUGAUCCUUAUAAAUUACCUUUCCGGCUGAGCUUCCAUUCCUUUAACUAGAAUUGGUUCUCGACCAAUCCAAUUGUCUUUGAUUGUACCCUACGGCUAUUCAACUUAUCCACCCCUAAUCAGAGCAUUGCUUCUGAUCCCUUGAUUUGGAAAUCAUAAUUCCUUUGCAUUUGACAAUUGAGUUAGUCAGUUGUUUCUAUAAUCUGCUUCCUCUAGUUGAGUACCGAUGCUCACGUCAGAUCCUUUGUGGACCAUCAAGUCCUUUGUUGGAUUUUAUCUGACAACGCCCUUCAUAUUCAAUAACCUUGUGAGCCUUUCCUAUGAUACAUAAUGCCUUUGGUAAAUUGUAUCCUCUGCUUUCUUAACCAUGCUCUAUCUUCGAGCUUGAGUUAAUUACUUCUAAAGAUUCUGGUAUAUGAUUCUAAGAUGCCCCGAUGGGUUGAACCUAUGCCUUCCUUAAUAGGUGUGAACUCGAAAGUUUUCACGAGUCGUACUCUUCUGGUAUUUUGCCAGAUAAAAUUUCAAAACUACAACUUCAUUGAGCGCGAGAAGUGAAUGAAAGGUUGUGCAUUGGAGAAGUGGGAGUCGACCUUGAACUUUGCGUUCAUGCCCAUGGACACGAUGUACAUCUUCUCAUUGAAGCUUCUUUUAAAAUCAAUUAUUCCCUUGGUAUAAGUUCAUCUUAUAUAUGAGAUCUGGCCUUUUUGCAAUCGUGGUUCUGACCAUGUUCUCCUUUAAAUAUCAUGUCCUGUGCAAGUUUAAGCACUUGUCUUCUAUAGAGCAAUACCCCAGUUCAACUUCUAGUUUGAUCUGUCGUCGAGUAUUACCACCUGGUAUCUCGAGAUUAUCUUGGAACUGCAUAAUUUCUUAUGAGUUCUUCAUCAAGUACUACAUACUCACCGAUUACAAUUUUUCAUGGGCUCGGAGUUAUUGAACACUCAAAGACACCGAUAACUGAACCGAGUCCGCUCUAUGGUUCAACAACUCUUCAGUAAGCUUCUAUAAGUACGAGUUUGUACCCGAUCACGCCAUUCCUAGCCUGUUUGGCUAUAUCAUUGACGUGACGAUUCUAACGGUGCUACCUGGUCCUUAUUCUCGGAGCACCAAUUUUCGACGAUGAACUAACCUUACGUCGAUUUUCCUCGUCAUACCCUUUCACCUUAAACAACAAGCUUGAGUUCGAGUUUGUGUCGUACCCAUGGUUCCAAUAACCUUUCACUUCAUCAUUACUUGACUUGAUGUCGUUACCGAUCGAUUACAUCUUCAUGAACUCUCGCGACAAAGGUGUCGUGAUCAUCAACAUUCUGAGCUCAUCCAGGAUAUCAAUUGAAUUCAUGAAGAGAGAUACCAUCCUUGCCCUCGAUGAAUUGUGUUCUCAUCGACCACUUUAUUGCCUUCCGUUCAACACAACUUGUUCGUGUUUUGUGUAAACCUUGAGAUCACUGCUACCCAGCAGUUGAUCUUCCUUACCUCGGAAGUAUUACCAUCUCUUUUUGUCAAGAAUGUGGUGAGAAUUUCACCACCUCUUGAUAAUUCUUGAUAUCAUAAUACUUCUUGCCAUCUUCGUUCAUUCCUUGGUCCCCGUAUGGUUUUCAACCGGAAUACCGACAAUGGAGCUAUGACGUGUGAAUUCAAAACUUCUAACAACCCUAUUGCUUUGAAGUGAAUGGGCGAUAGUUCAUUCUAAGUCUUUCGAUAAUUGAAUCACCAUUCUAACAUUGGCCGUGCAACCCAACCCAUAUUUCGGGUGCACCGUUCAACCAAUGUUUAAUUAUGUAUGUUUUCCUCGAGCAAAUCCCAUUAUAUCAUUUGAUCCAACAAAUGUCAUCUUCUUGUUCACAUUAUCAUGGAAAUCCAUCCAUUUGGAAUUCUCGAUGAAUUGUCGCUGAGCCCAUCAGCCACCUUCUCAUCCCCUCCUUGGUUUAAUGAUGAACUAUUGCUUCAGAAACCCGUUCCCAUAGUUCAUUUCUCGAGAAUCUUGCAAUGUCAUUUUGCCAGUUUGUGUUGCACCUUUUCCUCUCGGACCCCCUGAGUUUGAGGUAUCAUGACACCAAUUGGAUAUGAAUCUCGGUCAGAUAUGAUGGUUGAGACAACUUUCCAAGAGUUAUGACAUUGAUCCUUUGAUGACCCGGUAACAUGAUGUCAUGCCUAGCNNNNNNNNNNNNNNNNNNNNNNNNNNNNNNNNNNNNNNNNNNNNNNNNNNNNNNNNNNNNNNNNNNNNNNNNNNNNNNNNNNNNNNNNNNNNNNNNNNNNNNNNNNNNNNNNNNNNNNNNNNNNNNNNNNNNNNNNNNNNNNNNNNNNNNNNNNNNNNNNNNNNNNNNNNNNNNNNNNNNNNNNNNNNNNNNNNNNNNNNNNNNNGGCUGGAGGACCUAUCAUUAUAGAUUCCUUUUCAACAAGGUUAUCCAUUCAUCCAUGAGGAAAUUGUAAGACUUAUUCUACAAGUUAUUCUUGAUGGAUCCUUCGUGUUUCCAAAGUCUGAUCUUCACCUGAAGACCAUGUCACUGCUAUCUCGAAGCAUGUCAAUGGUACUCCGAUUUUCAACAGGCACGUUUGAAGCACGAUGCUAUAUUUUAAUUAUCAAUUAUCCUAACACCGUUGUAUGAGUAAUAUCAUGAGAUUCCUCCCCCCUUACCAAAAUGGUUUUCUACUUUAUAUCCUGUCAUGGAUAUCUUGCUCUGCUUGUCCUUGGGAAGGAUAUAUCCCUGAAAUAUGUGUUUAAACACAUUUUCCUUUCCAUUGUUCUGUUUAAUAUGAUAAUCAUAUUUUACUUUCCAUUGGUUUGCUUAACCCUUCUUGUGAUCUAUAUGUAAAACACCUUGGUGUACAACCGUGUCAGUAAGACCCUGUUUCUAUUGUUGAUGACAUUCCGGUAACCACUGAUGGAUGAGAACUUUGCCUAUUGGUCCGCCUCGUUCAACGAGCAGGAAAAUGGUUCUCUUCGUCCCUCGCCCUUGGUACCGACGUUGUUGCCGACAUAACUGACAGGCUAUCCUCUGACAUGCCUUGCUUACAUGAUCGUGCAAGACGUUACCUCCCUUCCUACUCUUAACCCACAUGGUGGGCCCAUAACCCACAGUUCCACAGGAUCGAAACCUGACUCUCCUGUACACCCCCUGUUCCCAAAGUUAUUCCUCACGCGUGGCCUCGUGUGUAAUUCACGAGCCACCUUACGAUGAGAUCAUCAAUCUGGUAUCAGACGCAAUACUUAUUCCCAUUGCUCUGAACCCCUUUCACACUUCGCUUCAGGCAAUGAACGAUUGCCUAUGCGCUUGAAACUUCUAUAUUGCACCUUCUUGCUUUGCUCUCGAUAUUGUCUUAAAUUUCAAUUCGAGAGUUACUUUCCGCCACCUUCCUCGUUGUUGCCUACCAAAUAAUCUACCCUGCAGAGAUCCAUUCUUCGGCAUACCCCCUUAAUCUUUCGUUAGUACGAUGAAAUUUCCGAAGAAAGGAUGAUGACUUCAUCAUGAUGACCUGAAGCAGAGAAAAGAAGACAUCAAUAUAAUGGGUCGACCUCUUCGAGAAGAGCAACCAAGACUGAGAAGAUCCGUUAGCAUUUCGUAACUAGAUCCCUCCCCCCUUACUCGUGCUCCUAAAUCUCGGGACGAGAUCUCUUGUAGUGGAGGAGAAUUGUGACGCCCGGAUAAUCAAGCUACAGUAACCUCUGCUAAUGACACCACGUCACCUCCGUUACUGUCACUAAUCUCGCGUUAGUUCGAAAACGAUUCAAAUUCAAAUUUGAGAUUUAGGCGAACAACAAAAGUUUUCAAACAUUAAAACUAAAAUGUCCAAAAUAUGUCAAAUAAAUCAUGGGUAAUACUGGUGGAGAAACCACAAAUUUUAUAAAAUGUUUAAAGGCUCUAAACUAAUUAAAAUAGCAACUAUGACAAUUAAUUAAAUGCCUUUUAAAAAUAAUAAUAAUGCAAACUGUUUUAACUAGGUGUCAAACUUUUGGGGCAGUAGAAUAAAUUAUAACAUUAAAUUAGGAGUUGUAUUUAUAUUUUAUAAAACAGAAAUUAAAAGAAAAUAGAUAAAGAAAAGAAAACAGAAAACAAAGCUAAAAAAAAGAGAAGGCAACCCCCCCCCACUGGGCUUCGGCCCAGCAGGCCACAACCCCCCACUGGGCCAACCCACCAGGCCCAGCCGGCCACUCCCCCACUACUCCUUAUCUCCUCACCCACCGAAAUCCUAGCCGCCCCCCCACUCCNNNNNNNNNNNNNNNNNNNNNNNNNNNNNNNNNNNNNNNNNNNNNNNNNNNNNNNNNNNNNNNNNNNNNNNNNNNNNNNNNNNNNNNNNNNNNNNNNNNNUAUGAGGCCCUCCUAUAUGGGUUGCGCAUGGCCAUUUCACUCGGCGUCCGUCGCCUAAUGGUCUAUGGCGACUCGGAUUUAGUGGUCAAUCAGGUGAUGAAAGAGUGGGACGUGAGAAGCCCAGCCAUGACUGGAUACUGCAGUGCAGUGAGGAAGCUGGAGAAGAAGUUCGAGGGGUUGGAGCUCCAUCAUAUACCCCGACUGAAAAAUCAAGCAGCUGAUGAUCUAGCAAAGAUAGGUUCCAAGAGAGAAGCCAUUCCGAGUGGUGUGUUCUUGGAGCAUAUACACACUCCGUCAGUCAAAGAGGAUCCUUUCACCGAAGAAACUCCGCAGCCCAAGAGCGCCACAGAUCCGACUGAAGUUGAAGUCCCAGCGGUGGUCGACUUGAUCAUGGAGGUUUUGGUGGUCAUUCCCGACUGGACGAUUCCGUAUGUCGCAUAUAUUUUGAGGAAAGAGCUUCCGGAGGAUGAGGAAGAGGCUCGACAGAUCGUCCGUCGAUCUAAGGCCUUUACCGUAAUCAAAGGACAAUUAUACAGAGAAAGCGUGACUGGAGUCGGUCAGAAGUGCAUAACGCCAGAAGAAGGUCGACUCAUCCUCAAUGAUGUUCACUCGGGGACCUGUGGUCAUCAUGCGUCCUCUCGGACCAUCGUGGCCAAAGCAUACCGAGCCGGAUUUUACUGGCCCAAGGCGAAUGAGAUGGCAAAAGAGAUAGUAGAUAAGUGCGAGGGAUGUCAGUUCUACUCGAAUAUGUCGCACAAGCCUGCGUCAGCUUUGAAGACCAUCCCACUCGUCUGGCCUUUUGCAGUUUGGGGGCUGGACAUGAUCGGUCCUUUGAGAACAGGACGAAGUGGCUUCACACAUGUACUGGUGGCAGUCGACAAGUUCACCAAGUGGAUCGAGGCUAAACCAAUCAAGAGCCUUGACACCGGUACUGCUGUUAGCUUCAUCAGGGAACUAAUAUUCAGAUAUGGAGUCCCGCACAGCAUCAUUACGGAUAAUGGGUCGAACUUUGACUCAGAGGAAUUCAGAGCUUUCUGCAACUCCCAGGGCACACGGGUCGACUACGCAUCAGUCGCCCAUCCGCAGUUGAAUGGACAAGCAGAGCGAGCUAAUGGACUGAUUCUCAAGGGACUGAAGCCUCGACUGAUGCGUGAUCUCAAACACGCGGCUGGAGCUUGGGUUGACGAACUUCCAUCUGUACUCUGGGGACUGCGGACCACGCCUAAUCGGUCGACCGGAAGAACUCCAUUCUUCUUGGUCUAUGGAGCUGAAGCAGUCUUGCCGAGUGAUCUUCUCCACAAUGCUCCUCGAGUUGAAAUCUACAACGAAGCAGAGGCUGAACAAGCGCGGCAAGACGCAGUCGACCUUCUAGAGGAAGAAAGGGAGAUGGCUCUGAUCCGGUCGACCAUCUACCAACAAGAUUUGCGUCGUUUCCACGCCAGAAAUGUGAGAGGUCGAGCCUUCCAGGAAGGGGAUUUGGUUCUCCGAGUGGAUCAGCACAAACCACAAAAGCUUGCUCCCUCUUGGGAAGGCCCCUUCAUCGUCACCAAGGUUCUCCACAACGGGGCGUACCGUCUUUACAACGUCGAGCAUAAUAUCGACGAGCCCCGAGCUUGGAACGCGGAGCUACUCCGCCCAUUUUACACUUAAGUUUUAUCACUCGGAUGAGUUGCAAUAAAGCACUUGUGUAGUUCAUGGACCUCAAAAUAAUAGUGUCAUAGUUCCUCCAUAAUUUCUGUCACUUUUUAUUUUUGUCCAAUAAAAUUCCCCCUCAGUGGGUGACUUAGCUGCGAAUCCGUUUCGCCUAAGUUUGUCAAAAUCCUACCGAGUGGUGAGCCAGACUUCCACUCGGAGGCUUAGCUGCGAAUCCGUUUCGCCUAAGAUUAUCAAAAUCCUACCGAGUGGUAAGCCAGCCUUCCACUCGGGGGCUUAGCUGCAGUCCAAGGACUCGCCUAAGUUUAUCAAAAUCCUACCGAGUGGUAAGCCAGCCUUCCACUCGGGGGCUUAGCUGCAGCCUCGUGCUCGCCUAAGUUAUCAAAAUCCUACCGAGUGAAGAGCAACCCUCUCACUCGGGGGCUUAGCUGCAGCCUCGUGCUCGCCUAAGUUAUAAAAAUCCUACCGAGUGGUAAGCCAGCCUUCCACUCGGGGGCUUAGCUGCAGUCCAAGGACUCGCCUAAGUUUAUCAAAAUCCUACCGAGUGGUAAGCCAGCCUUCCACUCGGGGGCUUAGCUGCAGCCAUGUGCUCGCCUAAGUUAUCAAAAUCCUACCGAGUGGAGAGCAACCCUCUCACUCGGAGGCUUAGCUGCAGCCUCGUGCUCGCCUAAGUUAUCAAAAUCCUACCGAGUGGUAAGCCAGCCUUCCACUCGGAGGCUUAGCUGCAGCCCAGUGCUCGCCUAAGUGGACUAAAGAAUAAGUCGAUUGCAGUACAGGCACCUUGCUUUGAACCUGCAAAAGACAUUCCGAGCCGAAGGCGAUCAUAUUCAAGCGCCAAAUUCAAGUUUGAAUCGAUAUCUAAAGGAACCGAAAGUGCUCAGGCGUCAAGCCCGUUAAGGUUUGUCGGUUACAAUUCCACUCGGCAUACCGAGGCAAAUUUAAAGUGUCGAGCCAGAAGAAGUUUUUUACCCCUCCUGUGGAGGGCUGGAAGGUGCAACAAAUUCAUCAAGGUCAAUCCCGUCGGCGAUCCGAGUGGCAGCUGCAAGGAAAGUUUCCAUAAAGGAUCUGAAGUCGUGCUUCUUGGUAUUGGCCACCCGAAGGGCCGCCAGCUUCUCUUCUCGCGCAUCUUUGCAGUGGACUCGGGCCAGACACAGAGCGACAUCUGCACCACACCGAGCCGAGGACUUCUUCCACUCCUGCACUCGACCAGGGAUCGUGUUCAAGCGGGCCAUCAGCGACUCAAGGUCAUUCUAAAGUGUCUCCUCAGGCCAGAGCGUCGAGUCGAUGCGAGAUGUGGCGGCCUUCAGCCUUGCGAGAUAGUCCACGACAGCUGCAACACGAGACUCCAGUCGGAAAACAUCCAUGGCAACUUCGUCGUUCACCGGAGAAUUGACGGGGUCAAGGUUUGGCUCUAGUCGGCUGGUUUCUUCUUCAAAGUUUUGACAAAAUUCUGCAAGGGUGAUCACUAAGUCAAGGGGAUAGUCGAAUGGAAAAAGCCACAAUUGGAAAUAUUUGCCGAACAUGGAGGUUUACCUUCAAGCAUAAGAAACAGCUUCUUAGCAAGGCCACUCAGGAAGGCCUCCAGUUCAGUUUUCUUCUCAGUCAAUUUGCUGACUUGGACGGUCAGGGCAGCUUUAUCAGUUUUCAGUCGACUGACCUCCUUGUUGGCAAUCCCAAGAGCAGCUUUCAGAUUGGUAUUGUCUUGUUCGAGCUUGGUGACUGAAGCUAACUUCUCGUCAGCAAGCUUGAUCUUCUCAGCUAGCUCAAGGUCUUUCUUCUGCUGGGCCUCCCUUACCUUACCUGCAAGUUACAGCAAGAUCAGAUUUUGAAACAAGCAAGGGGAAAAGCAGUCGUCAAGGUCUCACCAAACAUACCUUCGGUCUCCUCCUUUGCCUUUGUCAGCUUCUCCUGAACCAGCUUCAAGCUCAGCUCGACUUGGGUAUGUUUUUGUUCCAGCUCUGAGUAGCGAGCCACAAGAUCACAGGAGUUCUGCGAAGAACCAAUCGACUAAAUGUCAAAUAUAAUUCACUUCUGAGUGAAAAAGGGAAAAACACACGUUUCUAAGACUACAGCCGAAUACAACCAUUCGACCGUAGUCUCGGGGACUACACCCAGUGGGUGCACUCAGCGUGCCCCCACUAAUCCUGUUGAAGACAAAGUCGACCAGUCGACCUCAAAAAAAAAAGAAGUGUGCGAGAUGCAUUCUCUAAGACUGUGAUCAACUGCAAGCAGUCGACCACAGUCUCGGGGACUACACCCAGUGGGUGCACUCAGCGUGCCCCCACCGGUUUGUGAAAUCCAGUCGACCAGUCGACUGACAGAAAGAUUGACAUCAUAAAGCCUAAGGCCGACUGCCAGCAGUCGACCUUAGCCUUGGGGACUACACCCAACGGGUGCACUCAGCGUGCCCCCGCUAACACGGAGUUUAUUCGACACACCCAGUGGGUGAUUACUAUAAAUUCCGGAAAAGAAAAGUUUUCGGUAGCAUAUCCAACAGAACAAACAGCGGUCGACUGACCUGGACAUUGCUUUGGAGGGCAGAGCUGGCGUCAUAAGCUGCCUGACUCGCGUCCCGGAUGGUCUUCAGCUGCUCCAUCAUGAGUCCCGCCUGGCGUAUUGCCUCCUUCGCUGCGCCAGCUUGGUCCUCUGGGACGUGGUGCGUCGUGAAGAGGGAGGGCUGCUGAGCACUCGUCAGUGGAUUUGCGAAGGACACCGUGUGUCGAGUGGUGUUCCCUUCCUCCACAGUCAGGAUCUCAGGCGCCGUCACAUCCUGAGGUACCUUACUGGUGGUCGCUUUCCGACUCCUCCUGCGUGUCAGUGGUUCUUCAUCCUCGUCGUCGUCAGGGAGAUCGAUAACAGUGUUGGGUGGAGCUGCGGAGAAGGAUCAGGAUCAGAGAUCGCGAGUCAGUCGACUAAAAACAGUGUUAAGAAUACAGUACCUGGGUUCGAAGUCGCCGCAUCCUCCAUCUCGUGGUCAUCGGCCCGGGCCGAGGUCUCAGAAGUAGCAGCACUGCAACUCCAAAGGAUCAGUCGACUAACUUCAGCGUCGACCAGAAAUAAAGUUCACACAGAAUAAGAAAAUAUGAGCAGCACAAUUACCCUGAUAUGGUGGGGAUGGACACCUUCAUCUUCGGCAGGAGCUUGGUCGGCUUUGGCGGAGCCCCCCUAGGCUGCUUCGACGCCUUUUCAGUCGGCGCUGGAGAAGUGGUCCUAGGGCGCUUGGUCGACUGCGUCGCAACCCCCUUGCCACGUUCAGUCGAAGGGUCGUGGACGAGCUUCGACCGCCUUUCCGAGCGCGGUGGCACGACCUCCUCCUCUUCCUCCUCGUCUUCGGCGUCAUCAUCAUCGCCGUUGUCAUCAUCAUCAUCGUCGUCAUCAUCCUCUGCAACAUCCGAGUCCCAUUCCUCCUCUUCCUGGCUUUCGCCUCCGCUCGCCUCGCCCUCCUCAGUCGAAGCUUGUGCCCCAUUGGGCAUCGAGUACAGCUCAGUGAGGGCCUAACAAAUGCCCAGACAAGAAUCAGUCGACCAGUCGGCAGGAUUAACAGAAAUGAAUACGACAAGGGCGCAGUGGAGAGCAGAGCAAGUGUACCUUGUUUGGGUCGCUGUUGUGGUCGAGUGGAGGAAUCCUUCUGGCUCCGCGCGGGUUGUCCUUGUUUCCGGUAACGGCUACCAUCCAUCUUUCCAGAGUGACGUCGUCGACUGCUUCUGGAUGGACUCUAGUCUCGUCUUCGGUCCCACAGUACAACCACAUGCAGUGGCUCCGGAAUUGAAGGGGUUGGAUGCGACGCCUGAGGAAGACCUCCAGAAGAUCCAUGCCCGUCACCCCCUCCCGAACCAACUGCACCACGCGCUCCAUCAACAUCUUCACGUCGGCUUUCUCCUCCGGAAUCAGCUUCAGAGGGGAGGGCUUGUUCACUCGGUCCAUGGUAAACGGAGGGAGUCCACUCGACUGCCCUGGCGUCGACUGGACCUGGCAGUAGAACCAAGUCGACUGCCAGCCUCUGACGGACUCGGGAAAGGUCAUGGGCGGGAAGGUGCUCUUAUUCCUCACCUGGAUCCCCAGGCCCCCACACAUUUGGACGACUCGGGUUUUCUCAUCACCUGGGCUCGCCUUCUUCACGGUCUGAGAGCGACACGUGAAGAUAUGUUUGAACAAACCCCAGUGCGGUCGACAGCCCAAGAAACCCUCACACAUGGACACGAAUGCAGCAAGAUAGGCAAUGGAGUUUGGGGUAAAGUGGUGAAGUUGCGCUCCAAAGAAAUUCAAGAAGCCACGGAAGAAAAUACUUGGCGGCAAGGAAAACCCACGAUCAACAUGAGUGGCCAAAAGCACACACUCACCCUCUUCUGGCUGUGGAUGCCACUCCUCCCCCGGCAACCUCGCAGCUCCGUGGGGAAUCAAGCCCUCGUUGGCCAUGUCGAGGAGGUCCUUCUCUGUGAUGGUCGACUGGAUCUAGUCUCCUUGGACCCAGCCCUUCGGCAGGCGGGACCUGGACGAGGACCCUCCGCGGCUGGUGGAUCUCCCCUUCGCCUUCUCCGACGCCGACGCCUUCUUGGCGCGCUCCAGCACCGCCGUCUUCUCCUUGGCCAUGGUCGCCGGAGAGAUGCGCGAAGGGAAGUGGUGCGGGGGCGAGAGCGAGCACGCUGAGCAGAGAAGAAGGAAGCAGAGAGAGAGGGAGAAUGCUGAGGCGCAGCACAGAAAUCCUCGCCGGGCGCAUUUAUAAGGUCCCUUCCGAGUGGCUGACAUGCGGGCCCGGUCGAUCUAAUCAUAUCUGAGAGCAGUUAUGCAGGCUGGAUACGUGGCGAAAAAGGCGGCGCGGAGAUCGAGGCGCCUAUGCCCCGUCCCAUCCGAACGCCGCGGUCCGCCCCGCUUCGCGCGCGCCCCCAAAUUUCGCAUCCCGCGGAAUCCGCGAGCAACAAAUCAGUCUGUCAGACGCGGUGUUUCCGGCGAUCCGUCGCUCGGAGAUCGUCGAAGCCCGAAAGAUCACUCGACGUAAAAACAGAAUGGAUCGAGUCGACUGAAGACAAAUUGCUCCCUGUCAACGAAGAGAUUCUUUGGUCCAGAACAGCGCACAACUAGAGCGCAAAGGUCAAUCGGAAACGACAUCAACUCCUUCACUCGAAGGCUCAAUCCAUUCGGGGGCUAAUGAUGGGGUUAUGUACCUAGGGUAGGGUCAUGGACCUGAUCCAAGUAACUUACCCCAAGACAUCCUUAGAAGAGGUCGCCUUCCAGUCGACCAAUGAGGACUCACUCGACUGGUCUGAAGGACUCGACCAUGAAGACUCACUCGACCACCAGGAGGUCAAGAGGCACUCUGCACUGCAACGGCCUGUAAUCAAGUAGACUUUAUGAUAGUAAAGGCACUUUAUGUGGGGCGUUACCAGUAACGCCCCAGACUUAACUCACCUUAAACCCUCUCCUGCGUGGGCUGGCUGGGGUCCUGGCGCACUCUAUAUAAGCCACCCCCCUCCACAGGCAGAGGGGUUCGGCACCUUGUAGUUCAUACAUUCAUAAUCCACUCGACCGCCUCCGGGCUCCGAGACGUAGGGCUGUUACUUCUUCCGAGAAGGGCCUGAACUCGUACAUCCUUUGUGCUUACAACCUCUCCAUAGCUAGGACCUUGCCUCUCCAUACCUACCCCCCACUCUACUGUCAGGCUUAGAACCACGACAGCAACCCCCCCUCCCAACAGUAUAUCUACGGGUUCGCGGUGCAUUUGCGGGUCGAAACCAUAUCCCCCCGCCGCCGCCUCGGCCCGCAAUUCCCCACUCCCAUCCUCACAUUUCUCGUCGCAGGUGAGCCCCUUCCGCCUCCAACCGCCAUAUGGGGCCGCAUGUGGAGCUCCGGCGGCGGCUCCGGGAGCAGAUCCGACGGCGGCAGCGACCCCGAGCGCGAGCGGCGUGUUCGGUCGGACGGCGCGGGAAAGCGCGGGGCGAGGAAGUGGACGAACAGGGGCCUCUCGUCGCCGCCGAGAUUUCGCGUCCGUGAGACGGAGGAAUACGACCGUCGGCACAGGCGUACGCCCUCCUCCCCCGCGAGGCCCUCUUUCGCCGCGAGCUCUUCCUCUUUCGGCGCGAGCCUUCUCCUCGUGAAGAGGGAGUGGUUGGAGGAGCCGGAGGAGAUCGAGGUCGUCGCCGUCAAGCAGGAGCCCGAGGAGGCGGAGCGCCGGGGCGUCGUUGGGCCCGAGGACUUCGUCGCCGAUGUCGACGCGGUCGCGGCCGCCAUUGUCGAGCGCAGCUUGCGCGAGGAGGCGGAGCGCCGGCGCCACCACGAGGAGCUCGAGGACCUCGUGUUCCAGCAGGCGGUCGCGGCGAACCUUGCCGCCAAGGAGAAGGACGACGAGUAGCGGCGCAUCCACGAGGAGCAGAAGGCGAAGUACAUCGACCUCAGCAGCUCCGACGAGGAGGAUUGAGCUCCUCCACCGCGUUGUCCAUGGCCGCGAGCUCGCCGCCGUUAGAUCCUCACCCCCUCUAGUACUAGUAGUGAAUGUAGUAUGUAGUAUGAACUAGUGUUUGUAAUGAAUUAGUGUUUGAUCAUGUAGUAUAUGUACUAUGUGAUGAACUACUACGGUUGCAAUUUCUCCUGCGAAACUUCUUUUUCAAAUUAUGCAGUUUCAUAUACGGUUUUUGUUCGGCUACGCAGAUUUUCGACCCGCAAACAAGUUCCGCGUCGAACUGCAAAUGCAUUUUGCGGGUCGGGAUUUUGCGGGGUCUGCUAGAGUUGCUCUAAGUUACUCCCACUAUGACCUAAGUGUGCCAAUGCCAGCAAGCAACAAAAGCUGCAUUUUUCAACUCCAUCCAUGUAGUUCAUCGAUUGUACCUCGUGUAUGUACUCCCUCCGUUCCAGAUUCUAGUGCGUAUAGUUUUUUGGCUUCGAUUCCGAUAUGUAGUGCGCAUAAGCGCUGUGAAGCUGCUUUGGACGAAAUAACCCUCAACUGGUUCACGGCAGUGCAGCAGCAGGUACCCACGUGCGUGACAGACCAAGCAGGGGGGGGGGGGGUAAUUCUUGUCCAAACAAAGACGCCAGCUCAUACAUUGGUAUAAGUGCCCCAGCCAAAGGCGCACUAUAAAGAGGAAUGGAGGGAGUAUUAGUUAGUCCCAGCUGUCCAUGUUCAUCUGGGUUGGCGCUCUCUGGCACUACUGGCCAGCGCAUGAGCUGGGUUUCACAUUUAGUUUCAAAAAAAAUUCAGCACCAACCGAAAUCACCGAAAUUCAGUGAUUUUGGCCAACGCUUGAAUUCAAUUAAAUGUUUGAAAUUUGUAAACUAUUUUAAAAAACAUUUGAAUUCAUGUGUACUAGUGAAAUUGCUGAAAUAUUUGGGUCAAAAGGUAAAUAUUUGAGUGUCUACUGAAAUUAUUAAAUUCAGUGAAUCUGAUUGGAAUUUCACUGAAAUUGAAAACCUCACCGGCGUGUUGUGCUAACGUGGCAACUCGUUUUUUUGUGUAUGGCAAGCGCAGUCGGAGGUGAACUUCCUGGGGCGGCUGCAGCACCCGAACCUGGUGAGGCUGCUGGGCUACUGCGGCGACGGCGACGACCGCGACCUCCUCCUCGUCUACGAGUUCAUGCCCAAGGGCAGCCUCGAGAACCACCUCUUCCGAAGUACGUAAUCCACUCCACCAUGCAUGCAUCCAUCGCCAUUGAUCGAUCUCGAUCCAUCCACACGCCGCACUUUGCUCUUCGCUGACCAUGAUGCAUUCUCAUGGCGCAGGGGGCGGCUCGUUCGAGCCGCUGUCGUGGGCGACGAGGCUGAAGAUCGCCGCCGGGGCCGCGCGGGGGCUGGCGUUCCUGCACUCGCCGGAGACGCAGAUCAUCUACCGGGACUUCAAGGCGUCCAACAUCCUCCUCGAUCACGACUUCGCCCCCAAGCUGUCCGACUUCGGGCUGGCCAAGAGCGGGCCGGCGGCGGGGCGGUCGCACGUCACCACGCGGGUCAUGGGCAGCUACGGCUACGCGGCGCCCGAGUACGUCGCCACGGGCCACCUCUACGUCAAGAGCGACGUCUACGGCUUCGGCGUGGUGCUGCUGGAGCUGCUCACGGGGCUCCGCGCGCACGACCCCAACCGGCCCAGCCACCAGGCCAACCUCGUCGAGUGGGCGCGCCCCUACAUCGCCGGCGGCAGGAAGCUCACGGGGCUCAUGGACCAGCGCCUCGCCGGUCAGUACCCGCCCAAGGCGGCGCUCCGGGCCGCCAGGCUCGCGCACCGCUGCCUCUGCGGCGACCCCAAGGCCCGGCCCUCCAUGGACGACGUCGUCGCCAAGCUCGAGGAGAUCGACGCCAGAGGGAGCCGCGACUCGCUGCCGCCGAGGCCAAGGACUGUCCCGCCGGCGGCACGAAGAUCGCCUUACCGCGGUUCCUCCAAGCCCGCCUGACGACGAAGUGAUCGAAACUGUUAACGACGCUCUUUCAUUAUUUGUUUCUUUGUUAGCUAGGCAGUCUUUUGUAGCUUGAUACUUGCAUCUGAUUUAUCCUUUUGGUUAACUACUACUAGUACUAGUAGGUUUUACUGCCCCACUUGUGGCUUUGUAUUAUUGUAUACUUUUUUGACUUGAAAUAUGAAACGACCGACAUUUCGAUGCACAUUCAGAGAGAAAAAGAAGAAAAGAAACAUCAGUCUAUAAAGCAAUCACAUACGGUUGCAUACAGGUUCUGAUUUCUGAAGCAAAUGUACAGCUGUAAAUUUGAUGCUAGUAAUUUUACCUCCAAAAACUCUAGCAUUCCAUUGUUCUCAAAGAAAAAAAAUAUGAGAAAAGGAAAACAUCUUUAUGCACCAUUGACGGCCUGAAGCUGUGUCUAGGAGUCUAGACGGCUCCUGCCUUACACAUGACCAACGCUGCGAAAAAGCCUUCACUGAUCUGGAACAAGCAGGAUUGCAGUUUCGACAUGAGAGAUGAGCUUGAUCGAUGAAUGCAUUCUUACUGUCAGCUAAACAAUCCGACUGCUCAUAUCAUACUCAUCUGCAAUAUGUGGAUGCAAGUAAGAUCAGUUAACCGUGCCAUCGGAUUUUACAAGGGAAAUGAUUUAUAUUUCUGAAAAGAAAAUUCAGUCCAGCAAUACUUACACAAGAGAGAAGGCAUUUCAGCGCCGUAAAGGAUGCAUCUUCGUGGCGCUCAAACUGACCCGUGAAGGCACGAGACAUAAUUCUCUCAAUUCCACGGCGCAUGCCUUCAAGCAAGCUUUCGAAUGUUUGAAACCUUGAAGGUGCUUCAGAAUUGCAAGACGGUUCAAACAAGCCCAGAAAGAACUUACAUUUGCCAGGUAACCUGAACAUGAGUUCUAGACCUAAUGCGAAGCUUCAUUUCGACAAAUUCCUAUUCUUCCCUAUUCUGUACACUAGUUUGGUAACUGUGGUAAACGAGUUUCCCUAUGGCCGAAUAUGACCUAGUCUACAAGUACAAAGUGUCAUAUUCAGUUAUCACAGACCAGGCUGACAGAUAACUCACCAAGCAUCUUGACCACAGACUCCAAAUAUUUACAAAUGUGGCCUGUACCUAUCACCAUGACCGAAAACCGAGGCGAUAUCAACGCACACUGACUACUUGGAAAGGUGGGAUGGUUGUUUUUGAACGUUGAAGAAGCAUUGUAUACAUCGGGUUAACCGAAGGAACCACGGAGUAUCGGUUGAACUGCAGGAUUCACAGAGAUCCUGACUGUUUUAGCACUUGAUGACUUGUAUACAUCGAUACACUCCAGAAGGUCUGCAUCACAUGUCAAAAGAACCCACUCCGACUCAUCAUCCAAGUACUUGAGGUCAUAAACUUCCUGAGAAAUGCCGAACCGCUUUGCGAUUUCUUCCUUUAGCUUUUCAAAGCCCCAACUCGGCUGAAGCCGGAAUAUGCAUCUUUCCUCGCCAUACAUGGCCUUUAUCUUGAGAGAAUCAGGCUUAGCUUCUUGCAUGCCUGACAUGUUUGCCAUUGGUUUGUGUUCACUGAAUAGCAUGUGACUCUGAGACCUACAAAGGGUGACGGGUUUCUCUUCAGUAAAUAACCGCAGUUCGUCAUGGCUCGCAGCUUUCAUCUGUGUCGAGCUCUGAUUCUCCUCCAUGAAAAAUUCCUGCUUCACCGCAAGCUGAGGAGCGCUGCUUUGCUGUUGUUGAGGCUUUGGCUCGCUGGAACAGCCAAGGCUAGAAUUUGAGCUCUGGCUGUAGGUGGAGGAGAGGGAAUUUGAGCCGGAGGUAUGCGGACUGAAUCUGCUCUCGCACUGUCGAUCAGGAACUGAAGGCUCCAGCUGAACCUUUUGCUCUGAUGCUGGAUAACUCAGAUCUCCCUGCAACUCCCUUUCUGACCAUGUAGUCUUGGUGAAAUUUUCAUAGAGCGAACUCAGCCGAACUGUUCCUUCAGCUCCAUGUACUGAAUCAAUGACCAUUUGCAAUUUCUUGAGAGAGUGCCCAACUUUCUUGAUCUUCCUUGAUGGCCAACGAUCAAUUCCAUGAUGUCUGCAUAUUCUCUUCAAUGUAGUAGGGCACACUGGAGCAAAUGGUAGAAAGAAAAUAGCUAUAGUUAAUCAUAAACAGUGGCAGUUUAUAUGUAUGGCAAAUAGUCAAUGAAGAAACAAGACCAGUAUGUCUUUCAGUUGCAAGCUGCUGCAAUAUCAGCGUCAGCUGAAUUAUUGAGAAUUAAUUUUAUUAGAGGAAGUCUGUUCCUAAAUCUGCCUGCUUGAUAACGCACUCCCUUUUUCUGGUAAAGGGAAAUAUAUUGACUAAACGUUGAUCUAGGCGAUACAACAGCAAUAAGGACAAAAUCUGGCCAUUGCAUAGCAAGAAGCAGACAGCCCAAUUAUACACUUCUUAUCUAUGUUAGAUCCUAAAACUUAGCACAAUUACUGCAAUCCAAUAUAAGCUACUCAAGUAAAAAUACGGGUAUUAGGACGGAACUGUGGUGCCAACUUUUUAGCAAGCUGUCUAAAUCUACUGACUACUCGUCCAAACCGAGAAAAUGCAAGUCAACCAACAAAAAGAAAGGUAAAGAACAAUAGAGAAACUUUGAGAGAGUCAUAAGUUACCUCCUAAAUUCUUUGCAGCUUCUUUCAAACUACCAGCAAAAUGCUUCCUAAGUUCUUGCAGGCUCACAGUUUUCUCGAUUUUGGUUCGCCGCUUCUCUAUUACUUUGUCCGAGUUUGAGAGGCUUCGAUCACUGGAAAAAGGUGAACCCUUGACCUCAUAUUCUUCAUGCUUUGUAAACCCUGGAAAGAAACUUUUAUCUUCAGGUACUAGCACCGGUGAAGUUGGCCAGCCAGCUGUUACACUAAACCCUUCAUCCUCUUGUUUCCUUAAUCCAAAUGGCAGGCCACAAUCUGUUUCUCCCUGCGCCCCACUAUUCUGAACAUCCACAAGGCUUGCAAUCCAUGAAGAUACCUCCUCAGAAGCAUCCACUGAUCUUGUCCUUGCAGGAAUAUUGAUGCCACUAGUAUGGAGCUCAUCCAAGAUUUCAGCAGGCUUGUCACAAACUUCUGGGGGGGUCGGCGAGCUAGAUUCAGGCGAUCCGUCAUUCGCCAGUUCUUUCACGCCGACAACUCGCAGUGUGCAGGAGGCUUGUUGUAUGGUAUUGGACAGAGAAUUGAGCAUGCUCCCUUGCUCUUCACUAUUUAUGCAGUUGCUUGGCAAGAAAAAUUCCAAGAUAAGAUCCAUACUCCCGGUCUUGACGCUUCGCAGCCGAAUUGCCACCGCGGCCCUUAAGCCGAAAAGUUUUGCAUAAUGCGAGAGAGGGUAUUGGACCUUGCUGUAGGCAGUUAUGUCCGGGCAGAAACACGGCUCGUUUGUCCCGAGCGCCGUGCCGACAACACCCUCGCCCCUGAACAGAUGAUGCUCAGAGCAAGCCUGGUGAAAGCCAGUCAUAGCGGCAUCGCGGACAUAACACGCCUCGUCCACGGUGGAGACACAGUACUUGUAUUUUUCGUCGGAGUGGCGGCUCGCCCUUUUGGCCUGGCAGACGCAGGGUAUCCAUGUCUGAGCCAGUGGCAACUUAUGGGUCUCGCAAACAGCUCGGAGAACAUGAACGAGCUCUGGUACAAUUGCUCGGUGGGAAGCAUCGAUCACCUGACAACAAAUGAAGCAGAGCUUAUGUCAGGGAUACCAACAUUUCGGCAUUACCCCGCAAAACAACCAUGAACUUGGUGUCUUUGAGCCCACCUGUGCGCGAGGAUCGCUCGAAACAUCAGAACCUCUGAGAUCAACCUCCUGCAAAAUUUUCACAGAUGUAGUUUUAGAACACAAGGGAAUCAUCAAGGAAGGAGGAGCGAAAAGGCUGAUUACUUCGGGGAUCGGCGUGCCCGGUAGUUAUCACAUCUCCCCCCUAAGGGCAUUUCAUCGAACAGGUUAAGCGCAUAACAUGAUACGCACGGUUGUCGAUCUCGGCGUUGUAAUGAGAAGGGAUUUGCAAUGAGCCAUGAUCUCUACCUUGAGAGCGUUGCAGAUGUUGUCGAUCUCGGCGUUGUAGUUGAUCUUCUGGGUGGUCAUGACGAGCUCGACGACGCCGAGGCACGCGCCGGUGCGGCGCUCGAAGACCGGCAUGGCGACGCUGCCGCGGAUGUCGAAGUGCUGCGCGUAGCGGACGCGCGGGUACUCGUUGUCGGUGAAGAGGCGCACGUCGGGCGUCCACUCGGGGACGCGGCCGACGAAGACCCGGCCGGGGAGCCCCAGCUCAGCGCAGGAGGUCUCGUCGGCGGAGAACUGGUACUUGACGGACACGGUGCGGUAGCUCUCGAGGCGGUCGCUGCGGCGGUCGAGCCAGAAGGGCUGGCCGCAGGUGGUGAGCACCUGGCGGUCGCCGAUGCACGUGGGCACCCACACCUGCACCAGCAGCUCGCCCGCCGCGCCGCGCGACCGCGACGCGAUGCCCUGCAGCGCGCGCCCCAGCCGCUCCUUCACCGAGGCCGGCGCCUCCUGCGGCUGGAUCAGCCACGCGCGGCGCGACUCCUCGCCCCCGUCCUCGCCGUCGUCGUCGCCGCCUCCGGCGGCCGGGGCGGUGGUGAUGGUGCUGCCGAGGUCGAACAGCGGGGAGAAGGGGCUCGGCGAGGCGCCGCCGGGGUGCAGGAACUCGGGGAAGUCGGGCCCGGGCGACGCCAGCAGGAACUCCUCCAUGAGAUCCAGCUCGUCCAUGUCGGCACGCAUGCUGCUGCCCCGCAGGCCGCCCUCGUCGCUCCUUUGCAUCGGAUGCUCCAUGGCCACAACCAGCUCGCUCGGCAAUCCUCAGACCCUCCGCCGCAUACGCACCAACCAAGGAACCGGCCGGCGACGGGGACGGGGCGGAGCGACGGGAGCCACGAACCUCGGAUCAACUCCUCGCUGGGCACAAGGGAAAAAAGAGAGGAGAGGGAAAAUCUCGUCACGAUGCAAUCCAAGGAAUCUAGCAGCAGGCAGGCAAUAAGAUUUGAUGCGCAUGGCUGCCACGACGGACGCCACUAGCUCGCGGGAAGCCGUUCCCGGCCGCACCACUCCAUUGGCAGGCAGGAGCAAGUAGCGGUAGCGGACGAGACAUCCCCAUCCACAUCAUGGAAAGCGAGACACAUCGCCGUCAGCUAGCCCCGCCCCGCCCCGCCCCAGCCACGCCCUGGGAAGAAAGUGAAGAGAGAGACGAGACGGUAGACAACCUCAGCUAAGCCUCCCUCCCCGGUGAACCCCCACCACGUUGUCGUGGUCGUGCCACUAGCUGGCCGCCGGCCGACUAGCGCGCGCUAGUAGUGCCCCUCCUACUCCUGGCUAUAUAGCCAUAGCCGUAGCCAUGGCCUCUCAUCUUCCCCACGGAGGAGGAGGAGGAGGAGGAGGAGGAAGGAAACGACAAGGAAACACCAGAGCAGGCCACCAGAUCAGAUCGGGCGCCGAGGGCCGGUCGACGAACCCAGCUCACCUAGCUCGGAGGCGCGCGGAGGCGAUCUCCCAUGGCGAUAGGGCCCGGCCGACAAGCAGUCAGUCGAUGAGCGGCUCCGGAUCACUCUCCCGUUCCUCUCGGGCACGCACGGCACUAGGAGAAGGAGUACGCGGUGCGGUACCAGAUGGAUCCCGCCGCCGAUGCCGCCGCCAGGAAUAAAGUUAGCCGCGGCUGCGCGCGAGUGGGGAGGGCACGUACGUACGUAGUAGAGUAGUACGGGAGGAUGUGGGUUGGUGGACUGGCCGGGGUGGGGGUGGGGGUGGGGUGGGGGUGGUGGAUUUGUACUUGAGGACGGCGCGCAAGUAGCCUCUGCCUCUGCCUCUCCUCCUCGGAGUGCGCUCUCAAUUUCUACUCCUACAACGAGCUGCUGACAUGCGCUCCUCGGCUGCAUCUUUGUUUGUGCAUCCGCACGACGACGACUGCGACGGCGACGGAAUCUUCGAGCGCGCGCGCUCGGCGGGGAGGGGAGGGUUGGUUGACGGGAAUGGGCCUGGCUGGGGGCCCGAAGUCAACCGGGCCUGGGCGUGGCGGGAGGGGCAGGACGGGAAUUCCCCUCAUACGGCUGACGUGGGCAGAACGUGCAUCUAUUGGGCCCCGCCCGUGGCUGUGACCGCGAACCCGUGAGCCGUGAUUCCGUGGGUGAAAGAAAGAUUCUCCCUCGCUCCUCUGCUGUUAUUUUUCUUUCUUCUUUUUGACGAAACGGCCUUUGAUUGAACUUCUUCAAACAGCAAAAUGAGUUUGCUUGCUAGACCGCGUCAAACCAGAAGAAGCUAUAUUACACUACCCUAGUGUAAAAAGCGUUCUUAUAUUAUGAGACGGAUGGUGCACUCCCUCCUUCCAUCUCUAUAGGGCCUAAUGUGUUUUUCGAGGCUAACUUUGACCAAGUGUUAGAGCAAUAAUAUAUAACAUGCAAGUUACACAAAGCAUAUGUCAAAUUCGUACGUGAAAGGAGCUUCCAGUGAUAUAAUUUUCACAUUAUACAUCUCAUGUAUUAUUAAUCAUAUCAAUAGUCAAAGACGAUCUUGAAAAACGCAUUAGGCCCUACAUAGAUGGAAGGGGGGAGUAUAUGUUUGGUGUUUUGGAAGGUGCUCCUUCGUUAGUUGCUCCUUCUAUAGGGCACGGCCUUUCCCUUGUUUGUGAGUUAUACAAUUAAUUAGUACGCAAUUGUUGUUAUUAUUGUGUCGUUGAUAGGUGUGUCAUGGCCACACAUUACAUCUUUCCUCCUCAAAGUCCUUCACAACAAUACCUACAUUAUGUAACGAAUAAACUAAUGAGUGAACAUUCACCCGCUGGUCUUAGGGAACUAUCACUCGCUCAUCGUUGAUUUAUCAGAAGGAGUAGGCGAUUGUUACGCGUGGAUGCACAAAGGAUUAAGGAGAGUGUUGCGGAGAAAGUAGGAAUAUGACCGAUUUCGAAUAGUGAAAACAUUAGGGGUGCACUAGAGGUGGCUAGAUGGGCUCACCAACUCCUCGGCUCGCUAUUGACAAAGGUGACCGAUAGUCGACAACAAUAGGUGAAUAGUGCCUAACAAUGGAUGAAAUGAGAUAAAGAAAGAAGACCAAUAGGAAAAACAUGCGAGGAAGGAGAUGACCAAGGUAUAGUGAGGGUUUCUGCAAAAAAAGGGUAUAGAGAGGGAUAGGGCUGGAUUUAAACUCGAAACUCACGAAAACGAGUAGCAUGUGACUCGGCUCAACUCGACUCGAACUCGAUGACUAAUGCGUCGAGUCGAGUUUUGAUUUGAAUGUGUUAACAAAACAAGUUUAACGAACAGAGCUAGCGAGUUACUCAUUUAGCUCAUUUAUCACAAAUGACGUGCAGUAAGUUCCAACAUCGUUGUUGAUUGCCAUCAUCUGUGAAGUGCACCAACUGUUCCUGUAAUGCAAAUUGUUGAUUGUCGAGAUUUGUGAAGAAAAAAUAUGUGUCUACAAAUUUCCGAGCUAGCUAAGAUAACAAGCUCUAAAGCUCGACUCAACUUGAAUUCCAGCCCUAGAGAGGGACGAGGUGAAGGAAGAAAGAGCUGAGACCGUUCUCCACCUAAAUCAACAAGGCGAACACCGGGGGUUCCCUUCCAUGGUUCCAUUGUGUGAACCACGAGGUGGGCGAUGGUGACGAGAGGACCUGAACCUCACGCUGGUGUACUUGUGUAACUGGUCUGUCAUUUCUUAGUCAUCACAGACGGCGAGAUGGAUGCAUGAUACAUACUUUUCACCAGAAAAAUGUACCAACGCGUACGGAGGCAAGCCACUGUCCUCCCCUAACUGGGUAGCAUGAGUUUUUAUUUUUAUUUUUGACGGGGACUGGUAUGAGGAGUUUAUAACUCUCACGCUAGCUCCAUGAUCGUAGGAGGUGGUGUACAGACAUCACUCACUCACUUAAGUAAGUUCGGGCCUAUAAAACUCUGAUGCGUUCUUGUCAUCUAGCUAGCCAGCAGAGUCUUUGAUCGAGACGGUAACAUUUUACAUGGAGUUUCCUGGCCGAUAUUAUGCUCUGACUAUUUGCGGUAUGUACGUACUACCGGAAUCUGGCUGCUGCACAUGGGGAUCCAGCCGGCUGGGAUACGUCGACGCACAGGACAAAUAUGAACACCGGUACUGUCACAUCAGCGCAGUGGUGUCAUCGAGCAGCAGCACUACAAAACUCCGGCGAUGUGCGUGCGUACGUAUAAUACGGCGCGGUGUACGAGAUACGUGAGCGGUGCUGGCUGUUGGGCGGGUUUGCUUUUGCUCUAUGAUUAGCUGUCGUGGAUCUCGAGACAUGUUCGCGAUUCAACUCUCCGGGCGAUCAACCUGAUUCGUCCGCUUAUAAUAUGCACGAGAGGCGUGAUCCAUGGGGACUGGGACUGGGAAGUAUAGUCUAGGUAAUGAUCGAAGCAAGAGGCUAAGCUGGCAGCCGAGAGGGUUGAGAUACGGAUGGAUUUGGAAUCGUGGUGCUUGCUGUUGUCGACAGUGACGCCAUUGUUUUGCUUGACGGGAGAUUCAGAUACCGCCGGGCUGGCGCUUUGGACUUAUCGUAGCUGUGGUAUACGUGGGUGGGUGGCAGCGAAAUAUCUAUACAACAGUGCCUAUACGUAGCUGUUGCCACCACUGUUUUGAAAUGUGUGACUUUGAAAAGAAAAAUUGGACUCCGGUUUCUUUAUUUUCAAUCGUUGUACUAGGACGUGUACCAAGGUGAUAUAAGCAAACUAUAAAAAAUGUCAUAUUGUAUUUCUGAUGAGUUGGAAAAAAAGAAAAGAUGAGAGAGAACAGAAGCAUGUGUAGAAUAAAGCAAUAAUAAUAAUAAUAAUAAUAAUAAUAAUAAUAAUAAUAAUAAUGAUAAUAAUAGAGUAAUGCUACACCUCCAAAGGGUUUUACACAAUUCUUACGUGAUUAGACAACUGUCAAGUUAUGACCGGGGUUAGGCUAAGUUAUGAUACUCCCCACUAUGACCAGCCUUAGGGAGAAGAUGACCCCAUCCCACUUAAAUUUUGGGAAGAGAAGUAUUGAUGGAAAGUUACAUAAAACUCGCGUUAGGCUACUUAUAGUGGAUAUAUCAUAUACUAGUAUCAUGUUUAUGAUACUAGUGUAUGAUACUAUCUUUAUAGUGCAUAAUAUCAUAGAAUAAUAUCAUAUAUUAUCUUAUUUAUUGCCAUGCAAGACAUAAAGUAUCAUAAUAUUUAAUAUGAUACGGUAUCUACUAUGUUAGCUAAGAUACCACCACUAUGGCCAGCCUUAGUCUUCGUAGGUCUAGGAUUACUGGUAAUAAUAUAGCCAACUACUUGAUAUAGCUCUACCGUGCCAUAACAUAUAAUUUGAUUGGCUAUUAGGUUAGUAUUUUUCCAUUUUCUAUAUUUCUCCUUCCUCUCAUUAAUUUACUCAUUUUGCUUAGCAAUACGUGUAGAAAUUGACUCUUGCAUUAGAGCUCACUCUUCUCUUUUUUGCAUUGUAGGUGUCAUGUAAGCAGGUUAUAAUUAAAAGAAUGAACAAUAAUGGAGCCAACUGUUGGCUAUAUCUUGUUGCCAUGUGAUCUACAACCCAACCUUAUAGCCAACAUCCAUAUUAGUUAGCUAUAAAUGCAUGAGAAAUAGAAAAAGCAGUUUGUACACUAACUUAAUAUCCAACAUUGUUGCCAACUCUUUUAUCUAUACUACUAAAUCUCUACUAUCAAAGGGGAGUUGGUAGCGUCAUCUCCACCUGCGUCCCUAUGUUUUCCUCUUCGUACCUCCCUCUUCACUUCGGUUUUAUUUUGGUUUUUUGAAUAGUCUCAACAAAUGCCACACAAAAGAAAAACCAAUGUAAUUAGAGUAACUUGAAAUAAUCGAUACAAAAUUGAUACUUUCCAAAACCACGUCAAGCAUUAACUCAAUAAAACAAAAAUAAAAUCAAUUAUUACCAAAAACUCAACUCAAUCAAAACUCUUCUUGCCUUCCCACCCAUACCCAAAUAAGAUCAAAUCUUAACAAAACCUCAACUAAAUCAAACAUUUUCUUGCCUUCCCCUACCCGUACUCAAAUCAAACUGAAUCUUUUCAAAAUCUAGAAUACGCUGAGUGUAAGUGUAAGGUAUAUGCCGGACAUGAUUGAUGUUGAACCACUAGAAUAUUUAUGCCUCGUUGCAACGCAUGGGCAAAUAGCUAGUAUACUAGUAACAAAUAAAACUAGCAUUUGAUGACAUGGCAGAUUUAUAUAUCCAGCUGGCUUUAAUAUUGUGUGAUUGUGAGGAAUUUUAUCUCAUGGGAUGACUGGUUUGUAGUCGCACUUUUGUCGUGUAGCCCGCACACACAUGUCUUUGCGACAACCACAAAAGGCAAUGUCACGAUGAAAUUGCUUAUUUGUGUGGGGAUUAGGAUUCAAUGACAUAAUGGCACAUGACUUUGGGUCACAAACACGUGGCUCAUUUAGUCACUAGCCCACAUGUCAAUUGCCCAAUGUCAGGUGACUCUAUGUCACGAAAUCUGCGUCCAUUGUCAGGACAUGUGUUGAAAUUAGUAUUCAAUAUGUGUAUAAAAACUAAAAUUACACUUGGUGUAUAUGGAGGGUUAGGUGUGUAAGUCAUACAUAUGUAAUAUGACCCUAUUAUUAAAGAGCACUGUGUGGUAGGUAAAAUAGACUAGACGAAGCUGAUAUGCCACACACGAAAUUGCAAAGGGAACGACCCGCAUGCUCGUGGCAGGGGUGACCUGACCGACCCUGGCGCGAUGGUCGAGAUGCAUCUGAUGAGCUUGACGGGCUUGCCUUCGUCUGUUGUAUUUCGAUUUAAUGCAUUGGACGAGCACUUACAAUCAUGGGAAUGUAUCUGGUGCACCCACCUUGUGGUGCCACCGGUGUACUGAAUGUCGUAGCAUAUUUUAAAAUGUUUAGAAAAUCUAGAAACAUCUAGCACAUUGACACACCAUCAAUGUAUGUUGUUACACAGAUUUCAUAUCAAAAUUUGAAAUAUUUCAUGAGCCGUACAAAAAUGACAUUUUCACAUCAUUGCCAUAACAAAUGGGCCAAAUCCAAGCCCAACUUAUGUUAUGUACUAUUCAAUGCUGAAAUUCUUAUUUUUGUGUGUUUUGGGCUAUGUUUCAAAUUUUCAUUUCAUAUUGUGUGAUAACAUGCAUUGAUGUGUGUGAUGUGUCUCGGACCCCUGGAUGGAUUAGCGCGAGGGCCCAAGAGGUAUCAUGAAGAGGCGAAGAUAAAGCAACGAGGAAAGAAGCUCCCUGGAGAGUCGAUAGCACCUCCCCUUCCGGGAGAAGGUGUCCGGGAACCUCACAUGGGGCGAGACAAGAUGUUCCGCCGGAAGGUACGGAAGUGGACUAAGCCUGCAAACAAAGCUUGGAGCAGAAGCGAUCAAGUCUGACUUUGGAAAACCGGUUGACGUUGUCUGGUUAGUGUGCGGUCAUCAACAAUGUGCAGGACGACCAAUGGACAAGUCAGUCAGGUAGGCUAUAGACCCCUACGGAGGCUAGAGAGUACUCCCUCCAUCCGAAAAAUCUUGUCCCUCAAAUGGAUGUAUCUAGCACCAAUUUAGUACUAGAUACAUCCAUUUGAGGGACAAGCUUGGGACAAGUUGUUUCGGACAGAGGGAGUACCUUUUAAAGCUAAGGUAGGGAUAUAGAUAUUCUCCUGAACCACUCAAACCGCCUUACCUUUCAGGUUGUGUGGUAGAAAUAAGGGAGGAUCGGGACCUCGCUGGAGGUCGAUCUUUCCCACCUUGUAAGAGACACAUUGUAGCCUGAGACCACAACAAUAGAAAGCAGAGCAGGUGUAGGGUGUUACACCAAGAUGGUGGCCCAAACUUGGAUAGCUCUACGUGUUCAUCAUAGUUCUUCCACCAACUUGUUAGUAGCGCGGGAUCGCUCAAUGUGUUCGGUCCCUGGCCGAACUUUGUAGGAUCGAAAGUAGGUCUAGAGGGGGAUGAUUAGACUACUUGGCCAAAUAAAAAUCUAGCCUUUUCCCAAUUUUAAGUCUUGGCAGAUUUUAGCAACUUAGCAAAAGUCAAGCAAUCAACCUACGCAUGCAAUUCUAAGAGUGUGGCCGCGAAAAGUAAAACAUUGCAUAUGAAGGUAAAAGGGAAGGGUUUGGAGAGGGCAAACGCAAUGUAGACACAGAGAUUUUUGGCGUGGUUCUGAUAGGUGGUGCUAUCAUACAUCCACGUUGAUGGAGACUUCAACCCACGAAGGGUAACGAUUGCACGAGUCCAUGGAGGGCUCCACCCAUGAAGGGUCCACGAAGAAGCAACCUUGUCUAUCCCACCACGGCCAUCGCCAACGAAGGACUUGCCUCACCUGGGUAGAUCUUCACGAAGUAGGCGAUCUCCUUGCCCUUACAAACUCCUUGGUUCAACUCCACAAUCUUACGGAGGCUCCCAAGUGACACCUAACCAAUCUAGGAGACACCACUCCUCCAAAAGGUAAUAGAUGGUGUGUUCAUGAUGAACUCCUUGCUUUUGUGUUUCAAAUGAUAGUCUCCCCGACACUCAACUCUCUCACGAUGGAGCAGAACGCGUCAAACGAAGUUAUGAGGAGAAGGUACCAGAAGGCUCAAUCUCGUCUGCCUCCGGUUUAUGAUCCUAGGAACCUUUUCCAGACACCCGGAGCGGGACCCAGUAACCCGCCGGGAGUAAAUCAGGUCACAUCGCCCGGGACCAACACGCCGAUUCAACCACAUGUUAUGCGACCCCCACGUCUGAAUACUGCUCCGCCCCGUUAUGUGCCGACGCCACCGGGUCAUUACUCUAACCCACUGGAAAACAUGAUCGCGGCGGCAACAUGACUGGCGGCUCUCCCAGCUGAUGGCGAUUCACCGAUGGCGGUUGAAACACAAAGAGUCAGAGAUCUUCUUCAGACAGCCUUAGCACAACAGGAGGCAUACUCUUAUAGUAGAGACAGGAUUCAUUCAACCCCAAGUCCGAGCCGGAGCAAGAGUUAUAGCAGGCAUCUAGACUUGCCGGCCAUUUCAAGCAACGCCCAGCGCCGCAAUCAGCCGUGCGGGUAUGACCCGGCACAGGGUGGGGCUCCUAAUGUGCAUAAUCAGGACAGAGUACGUCAGUAAAUUCAGCAGGCGGCUCAAUAGGCAGCAGAAAUAGCAGCUCAGCAGGCGGCUUAUCAACCCCUGCCGGUUUACCCGACAUCGUCAAUGGAGUCAGGUGUGGUCACCAGGACCGGGGGUGUGCCUUGGUUAGUGCCGGCUCUGCGUAACGAGCGGUUGCCCAAGGAUUUUAAGGGGCCUCGUAAGGUACCUAAUUACACGGCCGAUUUGCAGCCGGCGGCGUGGAUUGAAAGUUAUGAGAGGGCCAUGGAAUUGCUAGAAGUUAGUGCUGCUGCGAUGGCCAAGUACUUCACCAUGAUGCUGGAUGUAACGGCUCAUAAUUGGUUGAAGGCAUUGCCACCUAAUUCUGUUAAUUUCUGGGUAGAGUUAAAGGAGAAGUUUAUCCAGAACUUUAAAGAUACAUGUAAGCAACCCAUGUUGAUUGUGGAUUUAACUAGUUGCAGGCAACAUGAGGGUGAGUCCAUGACCCAUUGGGUGCGUCGGGUUAAGGAGAUAAUACAUUCAUCUGAUAAGAUGGAUGCCGGUUCUGCAGUAUUGAUGUUAGAGCAAAAUUGCCGUUUUGAGCCUCUGAAGAUGAAACUGGGGCGACUCAAGCGCGAUUGUUCUGACAUGGGCCAGCUGAUGCCAGCUCUCGUUAAAUAUGCUAACUCUGAUAGUACCAAGGAUCCCGAGUCUGACUACGAGAAGGCAGGGAAGGGAAAGAAGAGCGUCAAUGUUAAGGGUCCUCAGCCUGGCCCGAUGAAUCAAGGCGGCAACAAUAAACAUAAGGCGGAUGGCAGCUCAGAGUUUGUGGCUAACACCAAUGCGCAGGGCAACAAUCAGCGGCAUAAGGGGAGGCCACCUCCUCGAUCGGGCGGGUCAGGUCCUACCCUUGAGCAGUUGUUAAAUGAACCUUCCCCGAAGCAUGGCACUGAAGAAAAGCCGGCUACUCACCUGUGGAAGGAUUGCACUAUCAUGAAGGCCUUCAAAAAUUCCAACAUAUUCAAUGGUAAUCACGGGUCGGGUGGCGGUUCAGGAGGUGGCGGCUUUCAUGGCCCGAACAAUGGAGGUGGCGGUUCUGGCUCCGGCAUUCGGGGCCACCAGAACAAUCAAGGCAAUUUCAAUCAGGGUGGUCAAGGCGUCUACAAUCAACAUUCUGGCCAGGGGGUUAGCAGCAGCAGCAGAAGUCUGGCUAUCAGAGUCAACCAAAGCAAUUGAGCAGUGGGCAGUAUCAUGUUUUCACCACAAGUUUAUAUAAGUGGGAUCAGAAGCUUCAUAAGAGAGCAGUGAACGCCGUUGAGCCGACAGUUCCUCGAUACUUAUGAUGGUCUGAGCAGGCCAUUAUGUGGAGUCGGGAAGAUCACCCGCCCCGGGUUAACAAUCCGGGUCACUUGGCCUUGGUGGUAGCACCUCAAGUUGGGGGGGUAUAAGUUCACUAAGGUGCUCAUGGAUGGAGGCAGCAACAUCAAUAUCCUCUAUUAUGAGACCUUCCGUCGUAUGGGGUUAACAGAUAAAAAUCUUAAGCAGUCCAAUACUGUUUUCCACGGCGUGGUUCCUGGUAAGUCAGCAUACCCAGUAGGCAAGAUCUAGCUGGAGGUAUCCUUUGGAGAUGAGUAUGAUUCCAGAGCCGAGAAGUUAACUUUUGAGGUGAUCAAGAUCAGGAGCCCGUAUCAUGCUCUGUUUGGGCGACCGGCUUACGCCAAGUUUAUGGCAUGGCCGUGUUAUGUUUAUCUGUAGCUGAAGAUGCCGGGUCAUAAAGGGACCAUUACGAUUCAUGGCAGUCGAAAGGUGGCUUUGGAGUGCGAGGAAGGCGACGCUGCUUAUGCUGAGUCGGUCUGUGCUGCGGAAGAGUUAAAGUACUAUAAAGACAAUGUUGACCUGGCAGACAUGACAUCCUUGAAGAAGCCAACCAUAGAGCGUGAGCCGGAGAUGAAGUUUAAAUUGGCUGAGGACACCAAGAUGGUUGAUUUCGUUCCUGGCGAUUCAUCUAAGCAGUUCAGUAUCAGUGCCAAUCUGGAUCCCAAAUAGGAAAGCACGCUCAUCGAGUUCAUCCGUGAGAAUCGGGACAUCUUUGCAUGGAAGACUUCCGACAUGCCGGGUGUACCGAGAGAACUCACUGAGCACACUCUUAAUAUUGAUCCUAAGUAUAAGCUGGUCAAGCAGUUUCUUGGGCAGUUCAAUGAGGAGAGGCGCAAGGCCGUUGGUGAGGAGGUGGCCCGGCUCUUGGCGGCCGGGUUCAUUAUUGAGCUAUUCCAUCCUGAAUGGUUGGCUAACCUGGUGCUAGUGCUCAAGAAGAAUGGCACUUGGCGUAUGUGUGUGGACUACACGGACUUGAACAAAGCUUGUCCAGCUGAUCCCUUUGCUCUCCCGCGUAUUGAUCAAAUUAUUGAUGCUACGGCGGGAUGUGAGCAUCUGAGUUUUUUGGAUGCUUAUUCUGGAUAUCAUCAGAUCAAGACGGCGGUUAAGGACUAGGAGAAGACGGUGUUCAUUACUCCUUUUGGAGCAUUCUGCUAUGUUUCUAUGCCUUUUGGGCUUAAGAGUGCCCAAGCGACUUAUCAGUGUCGCGUGCAGAAUUGCCUUCAUACUCAGAUUGGCCGUAAUGUGCAUGCUUAUGUGGAUGAUAUUGUGGUGAAGUCCAGAGAGAAGGAAACACUGAUAGAUGAUCUCAAGGAGACCUUUGAUAACCUUCAGAUGUACAACAUGAUGCUUAAUCCGAUAAAGUGCAUCUUUGGUGUGCCGGCAGGCAAACUUUUGGGCUUUCUGGUUUCUAACAGAGGCAUUGAGGCUAACCCAGAGAAGAUCAAGGCUAUCACAUCUUUGGCAAAAUCCAAGUGAAUCAAUGAUGUUCAGUGAUUGGCGGGUCGUAUUGCUGCUUUAAGCCGGUUCAUAAGCCCGUUAGGUGAGAAGGCCAUACCACUGUAUCAGAUGUUGAAGAAGACAGAUGAAUUUGUCUGGAGUGAUGCUGUUAACAUUGCCUUUGAGGAUUUGAAGAGAUAAUUGGCUGAGCUGCCGGUCCUUGCUGCUCCCAUUGAUAAAGAGUCGUUGUUGUUAUAUGCGGCUGCUAAUGCACGCGCUGUCAGUGUGGCUGUUGUGGUGGAGCGUAAGGAGUCUGGUAAGGAAUAUCCGGUUCAACGGCCGGUUUACUACAUCAGUGAGGUGCUUAUUGAGUCCAAACAGAGGUAUCCACAUUGGCUGAAGCUUGUUUAUGGGGUAUUUAUGGCCAGCCGGAAGCUUAAGUAGUAUUUCCUGGGUCAUCCUAUCACUAUGGUCAGUUCUGCUCCUUUGGGGGAUAUCAUUCAGAACAGAGAGGCUACAGGACGAGUCGCCAAGUGGGCCAUUAAGCUUGGGCCUCCUGGUUUAAAAUAUGUGCCUCGCACUGCCAUCAAGUCUCAAGCACUGGUGGAUUUCGUCAAUGAUUGGACAGAGUUGCAGACGCCUGAGGAGAAGCCAGAUAACACAUACUGGACAAUUCACUUUGAUGGAUCCAGGCAAUUGGAAGGCUCGGGGCUGGAGUUGUUUUGGCUUCCCCUCGAGGUGACAAAUUUUGUUAUGUGCUAAGGUUGAUGUUUCCCUAUACUAACAAUGCAGCUGAGUAAGAGGCCUUGCUCCAUGGUCUUCAGAUGGCUAAAGAGAUGAACUUAAGCCGGGUAAGGUGCUUCGGCGACUCAGAUUUGGUAGCUCAACAAGUCUCAGGCAAGUGGGAUUCUAAAGAUCCUCUCAUGGCGGCUUAUCGCCGUGAGGUUGAUGCUGUGGCUGGACACUUCAAGGGUUAUCAAGUGGAGCACAUCGAUCGCAUGAAGAAUGAGGCGGCUAAUGCUCUAAGCCGGCUUGGAUCUCAGCGUAAACCGGUACCCCCGAAUACCUUCUUGGAUGUUUUGCAUAAUCCUUCUGUCAAGUUACCUACAGAGGAAGACUUGGCUGUGCCUGACCCGAAAGUGCAGUUGGUGGCGGCUCUUCAUGUCAUCCCAGAUUGGACAAUGCCAUACUUGGCUUACAUGACCCGGGGAGAAUUGCCUGAGGAUGAAACCUUGGCUCGACAGAUAACCCGGUGGUCUAAGUCAAUAACGAUUACCAGUGGUGAGUUACAUCAUCGCAGUGUCACUGGGGCGUUUCAACGUUGUGUAUCUCCUGAAGAAGGUCAAGAGAUUCUUCAUGAGAUUCAUGAAGGGGAUUGCAGCCAUCACGCCAGUUCAAAGUCCCUGGUGGCCAAAGCUUUCCGUCACGGAUUUGUUGGCUCAUGGCUCAUGCUGAUGCUGAGGAUCUGGUCAGUAAAUGUGACGGGUGUCAGAAAUUUUCACAGCGAGCUCAUGUGCUGGCUCAAGAAUUGAGGAUGAUACCAAUUACUUGGCCGUUUGCUGUGUGGGGGCUUGACAUGGUUGGGCCUUUCAAAAGAUCCAAGGACAAAAAGACUCACCUUUUGGUGGCAGUGGAUAAAUUCACAAAGUGGGUGGAAGCAGAGCUGGUCAGUAAGUGUGAUGCGGUGACGGCGGUUCAAUUCAUGAAAAAGGUGAUUUUCCAUUUUGGCUUCCCCCAUAGCAUCAUAACUGAUAAUGGCACUAACUUGUCCAAGGGAGCUAUGGAGGAGUUCUGUCAACGUGAGCAUAUCCGGCUUGAUGUCUCAUCAGUAUCUCACCCCCAAUCCAAUGGUCAAGCAGAAAGAGCCAAUCAGGAGAUUUUAAAGGGUAUCAAGCCCCGACUUUUAGUUCCUUUGCAACGAACGCCGGGUUGUUGGGUGGAGGAGUUACCAUCAGUGUUAUGGAGCAUCAAUACUACCCCCAACAGAUCUACAUGUUAUACCCCUUUCUUCAUGGUUUAUGGAGCAGAGGCGGUUCUUCCUAGUGACAUCCGCCAUGACUCCCCUCGAGUGGCAGCUUACAUGGAAGCUAACAAUGAGCAAGCACGUUGGGAGGCACUUGACCUGUUGGAUGAAAAGCGUGACUUGGUAGCAGCCCGCUCGGUGAUUUACCAACAGGACCUGCGGUGUUAUCACAGCCGUCGGGUUAAAUCCAGAUCCUUUCAAGAAGGCGACUUGGUGCUCUAGCUCAUCCAGGAUCAGACUAAUGCACGCAAGUUAUCCCCACCUUGGGAAAGGCCCUUUGUGGCCAGCAAGAAUUUAAAUAACGGGUCAUACUACCUUAUCGAUAUUCGAGAGCACAAAGACUCACGUGAGGUACCGACAGCUAUGUUCUUUUUGGUUCGAAUACAACCUAUGUUCUCUUUGGUUCCUCCGACUUAUGUGAGUCUAUGUGCUCUCGAAUAUCGAUAAGGUAGUAUGACCCGUUAUUUAAAUUCUUGCUGACCACAAAGGGCCCUUCCCAAGGUGGGGAUAACUUGCGUGCAUUAGUCUGAUCUUGGAUGAGCCAGAGCACCAAGUCGCCUUCUUGAAAGGAUCUGGAUUUAACCCGGCGGCUGUGAUAACGCCGUAGGUCCUGUUGGUAAAUCACCGAGCGGGCUGCUGCCAAGUCAUGCUUUUCAUCCAACAGGUCAAGUGCCUCCCGACGUGCUUGCUCAUUGUUAGCUUCCAUGUAAGCUGCCACUCGGGGGGAGUCAAGGCGGAUGUCACUAGGAAGAACUGCCUCUGCUCCAUAAACCAUGAAGAAAGGGGUAUAACCCAUAGAUCUGUUGGGGGUAGUAUUGAUGCUCCAUAACACUGAUGGUAACUCCUCCACCCAACAACCCGGCAUUCGUUGCAAAGGAACUAAAAGCCGGGGCUUGAUAUUCGAGAGGUUAAGACCCGCCGACCGUGGAAUAUAGCUCAUCUUCGGCCUUACUACACUUGAGCCACCGGCUCUCAUGAUGUACAUAUCUUGGUGAUGUAUAUAUUAUGAAUAAUGAAGCAGGACCUCUGUCCUUUUCAUCCCCAAAGAUCAUAUGUCUUCACUGUCAUUCUUUCAAAAAGACCAUUGGGGGCUGAUCGUAUUCGGAUCUAGCUUAACCCCUUUGGCACAGCUUCCUGAUCGUAUUUGAAUCAUAGCUGUUCAAACAAACUUGAUCACUUGGGGGCUGGAUCGUAUUCGAAUCAUAGCUUAACCCCUUUUUGGUCCGACUCAGAUCGUAUUCGAAUCAGAGUAGUUAAAUAUUCUCAAGGUCACUUGGGGGCUUCCUGUUCAAACAUAGGUCGUAUUCGAACCAAAGAGAACAUAGCUGUCGGUACCCACUUGAUCAGCACAAUGCCAAAACUCACUUGGGGGCUUCUUGAUCGUAUUCGAAUCAUAGCUUAACCUCUUUUGGGUCCAACCCAGAUCGUAUUCGAAUCAGAGUCGUUAAAUAUUCCUAAGGUCACUUGGGGGCUUCCUGUUCAAACAUAGGUCAUAUUCGAACCAAAGAGAACAUAGCUGUCGGUACCCUCUUGAUCAGCGCAAUGCCAAAGCCACUGGGGGCUACAUGGUCGUAUUCGAACCCUAGCUUAACCCCUUUGGGAUGGUUUACUGAUCGUAUUCGAAUCAAAAGCCUUAAGUUUGUCUUUUUAUUCUUUUUUGCUUAAGUCUUCUUUGAAAGCCUUCUUUGAAUUUGUCUCAAGACCUUUUCGGUGUUUAUGAUUUAAGACAUAUGAGGUUUUUGAUCGAACCGGUUAACUUUGAAGCAAUCAGUUGUCCAGCGUGUGACAAAUUCCAAGAGAAGGUCAUGGUUUAUAAACUUAGUCAUCACCCUUACUGUCCAGGUCAUUUAAACCGUCAGUAAAAAUUUGAUAUCUCAGGUAUGAUGUUAUCAUAGUAAUAUUACAAAGUUCUGAUCAGAAUUGUUUAUAACCUAUAUUUCACAUUUAUAAAUAUGUGGGAUAAUUAUGACCCGCCCUGCGGUGAGCCGCCGAGGGUCUCUAUGAUCUACCUCUCUGUGCAGGACUGAUUACAGGAUUUCUUAUGCACAAAGGAAAUAGAAAAGCAUAAGAUGGAGUAAAUAUAUGAUGGUGAUUUAAACAGUGUUAAGGCAUCAAAAACGUGCACGAAGGCAUGACACAACAAAGUCGUCUCUAUUCCUGUUACAUGACUCCUCGAUUCAAAAUGAUUAAGCAUUGUUUUUUAAGCAAGGCUACAAACGUGAGCCGCCCAACAGAUUAGUUCUCUUGGUUACCUAAAGCUUCCGGAUCAACCCUUUCCACUUCUUUGUCCUGCUCCUAGGCUUGGAAGGUUGAUGACGACUAGUCAAUGCCACUCAAAGCUUUAAAUUCAGCUUCGUCAUCAACUAGCCCGGCCGGGUCAAUCUCAGGAGCGAAGGUAUGCUUACGAGUUGUUGGAAUCAGGCUUGUCAGGGUAUAUUGUGGUUUUGGGAUUCUCUGGUUCUCUGCAUCAUAACCCGCCUGGUA